GUGUUUUUUUUGUGUGUGUGGGAGUCAUUGGGAUUUCAAUCAUAAUCGUGUCAUGUGGCUUUGGUGGUAAGACUAUCCACAGUGGUGCAGAAAUAAUGCAGCCUUAGUCACCUUACCUCUCUCCACGUAGUACGUUGGGUCCCACCAGUCAGAGGGUGAACCAGACAAAUUAAUAAGAAAAAUUAAAAGCGCCAGUGGUGUAUCUUACCUCACACAUCUCGCUACUGCUCGGGAACACUGUCCAAUUGAUCCCUCUGUUCACUCACGUACUAUUUUAAGUGAAUCCUUAUUAUAACAUGCACACAAACUUUGGGCACUUGUAUUCGAGUUAAGUCAGUGUGCCACCGUAUCUCGUAUACUUACUACUCCCUCCGUCUAGGCGUAAUAAGUCACGUUAGAAGGUGCAACGGGACCAAGGUGUGUGCGUGUGCGCGCGCGUGUGUGUGUGUGUGUGUGUUUAACAACAUGUGUGUGUUAGAGAGAGCGACAGAUCGACCUACUCCUACAGAGAGAUGUUGUGUAGUGUAUGAUUUUAGCCGCGAGAGUCGGUGCAUCCUCUCGUUUCCGGGCGUGUCUGGUAGGGACAUGCGGACAGCUGCCACGCCCGCUCCUGACCAGCCUGGCCCACCCAAAGCCCCUCCAGCGCCCGCGCGCGCUUCCCGCCCGAAACGGUCAGCGCGCCGCUCCAAAGAACCGGUGCCGCAUUCAUGCCCGGGCAGAGCGGACGCGACCUCUCACUGGCGCAAGAGUGAUGGUUGCUUCGUCCGUCCAACUUACUGCUGGGUCUAUGUGAUUUGACGGCUCAUUGGUCUUUAUUACUGAGGUGGUAGGACUGCUGGAUGUCCCACGCUUUCGGCGAAAGGAGGUACUACUACUAGAGUACAAUUUUCUCCAUUCUUACAGCAGAGGUGUGCAAGAGCAGUGAAAACACGCAGGCUCAGUGAUUACAUGGCCCACCUCACACUAUCACCGUGCGACACCUAAAUCUUUACAUAGUACUCCCUCUGUUCCUAAAUAUUACUAGAUGAGUCCCCGCGCGUUGUCGUGGAACAGCGGUAUAUCUCUCUGCGCAAAAUUAUCGAUUUCAUAGAACUAAAAAAAACUCUAUAACUGCAUGACAAAUGUGGUAGCCAAACUAAAUAAACUCCCAUCAUCAUUUAGAUCAUCCCACGUAAGGAAAAAAAUCGGCCAACUCCUACUGCAUAAUGGGAUUAUAUUUUUCUUUUUGACAUGUUAAUGGGACUUAAAAGCUCACUUACAUGCAUGCUACUUGUGCAUGCUUGCAUGCAGACAUGUUGAUGUGAUUUAAAACCCACUCACAUGCAUGUGCCACGGUAUUUCUGCAUGCUUGCAUGUGGCUUAGUGCGGAGCCUCUCAACGUCUAGAUCAGAUGGCUAUUAUGGACUUAUUUACUUCAUCUAACGGCUACAUCAAUUUUUAUGAUGUGGCUCAAAGAGAGGAUAGAGAAUUCCUAGUAGUGGGGGCUAGCUAUUACUAGUAGAUAAGUCUUUGUAGAGAUUCCACUACGUACGGAACAAAAUGAAUGAAUCUACACUUAAAAUGCAUCUAUAUACAUCCGCAUGUGGUUCAUGGUGAAAUCUCUACAAAGACUUAUAUUUAGGAACGGAGGAAGUACUAGUAUAGUACGUACUGUAAUUUAUCAGCGAGAUAAAUUUGUACAAUGCUAUGAAGCUUCCAGCUUCUGUUACAUGUAUCUUGCGUCCAAGGUUGCCCGUUGCAACAUUUCAUCAAAUACAAAGGAGACUAACAUGCAUGCUAUUGCAUCUCAAUGAUUGACAGAUCAUAGCAAAUAUGUACCCCCUCCAUUCCAAAAUAAGUGUCUCAACUUUGUGCAAACUUUAGUACAAAGUUGUACUACUACUAAAGUUGACACUUAUUUUAGAACAGAGGCAGCUAAAGAAAAGAUGAUCCAUGCAGUCCCUAGCCCUUGAACCGUGAACCCUGACCAGGCUUCAAUUUGCUGGCAACGUUCGAGCUUCCUAAUAAAUGAAGUUUGCAACCUUUUGACCAUCGGAUCAUUCUGUGCAGUUUCACCAAAAUCGAGAUGAGCAUCCCUGUGGCAAACAAAUUGAAGAAGCGUGAUUGGAAUAAGAUUACUGGGAGUAGUUGAUAAGACAUAAACUCAUCACAAAUACAGUACGUAGAAGCCAGUAGAGGUAUGUGCGGGGCAAAGGAGUAGAGAAAUAUCCACAGGGAGUGAUGUGGGCAGCUGGAGCAGUGGUGCAAGCCGGCUGUAACGGGAGUUGUACCUGAGGGACGUAGCUCAACCUUGAGGAGGGCGGCGGGAGGCAGCAACUGCCCACGUCGCGGCAGUGACCAAGGGACGAAGGCAACCUCAUCGGCUUUGUGAGAGAGAACGGCGGGGACCCCUGAUCGGGACGUGCCGACAGUGGGUUUUCGCCGUCGGCGACGACCACCGCAUCUACACUAAGCAUCCACCCCUUCCUCAAGCGGAAGUGAUCCGCUGGGAUGUUAGAGAUGUGGCCACAGUCGUUUUGUGUGAGAGAGUGUGAAGAGAGCAACCCCAGCAAGCAACCGUGUAGGCUGGCCCGUUCUGACUAUGUAUAUAGUGGAGCGGUUUCCCUUUCUCUCCAUAUGAACCUAUCAUAUUGCGUACGUGCCACUGAAGAAAAAAAACUUUAUUUAAAAAUGACGCGGCACCUACUACUCGUUCUCCUAUAACCUUGCGCUUGGCAUCUCCAAAAUAUUAACCUUGCGAUUGGCUCUUCGCCUCUUCGGGAAGUCGAGCAAUAAUGGUAGUGCAGUAUAUAUCGUUCUGGCUAUAUGAGACCGAAUGAAUUGCUGCACGUCCACCACGUGGGCGAGGGUCGAGGGGCGAGGGAGAGUGCUACAUACGGAGCAAAAUGAGUGAAUCUACACUCUAAAAUACGUCUAUAUACAUCAGUGUUUGGAGUAUGUACUAGUAGUUCAUAUUGAAAUCUACUAAAGGACAUACAUAUUCCAAACAAUAUGAUAUAAUCUCUAUAACCAAGGUAGUAGGGGCGAUUAGUAAACGGAGGGAGUAGUAAAUUUUUCUCCUCGUCCUGCGAGCCACCGCGCGCAUGGGCGAGGGAGCGGGCGUAAGGCGGAGCAAGCUUCACCUCAUCCUGCGAGCCACCGUGCCCGUAGGCGGGGGAGACGGCGUACUAAGCAAGCUUCUCCUCGUUCUGCGAGUUGACGGGACACCUACGUGGGUGUGUGUGAGAGAUNNNNNNNNNNNNNNNNNNNNNNNNNNNNNNNNNNNNNNNNNNNNNNNNNNNNNNNNNNNNNNNNNNNNNNNNNNNNNNNNNNNNNNNNNNNNNNNNNNNNNNNNNNNNNNNNNNNNNNNNNNNNNNNNNNNNNNNNNNNNNNNNNNNNNNNNNNNNNNNNNNNNNNNNNNNNNNNNNNNNNNNNNNNNNNNNNNNNNNNNNNNNNNNNNNNNNNNNNNNNNNNNNNNNNNNNNNNNNNNNNNNNNNNNNNNNNNNNNNNNNNNNNNNNNNNNNNNNNNNNNNNNNNNNNNNNNNNNNNNNNNNNNNNNNNNNNNNNNNNNNNNNNNNNNNNNNNNNNNNNNNNNNNNNNNNNNNNNNNNNNNNNNNNNNNNNNNNNNNNNNNNNNNNNNNNNNNNNNNNNNNNNNNNNNNNNNNNNNNNNNNNNNNNNNNNNNNNNNNNNNNNNNNNNNNNNNNNNNNNNNNNNNNNNNNNNNNNNNNNNNNNNNNNNNNNNNNNNNNNNNNNNNNNNNNNNNNNNNNNNNNNNNNNNNNNNNNNNNNNNNNNNNNNNNNNNNNNNNNNNNNNNNNNNNNNNNNNNNNNNNNNNNNNNNNNNNNNNNNNNNNNNNNNNNNNNNNNNNNNNNNNNNNNNNNNNNNNNNNNNNNNNNNNNNNNNNNNNNNNNNNNNNNNNNNNNNNNNNNNNNNNNNNNNNNNNNNNNNNNNNNCGACUGGCCUACCGGAAUGUUAGAGGGCACAUGUCAAGUUUGUGUGUGCCAGGGAGACAUGACUAGAGCGCUCGAUGUAUUGGUGUGUGUGGGGGGAGGGGUGGGGGGAGGGGUAGGAAGAGGCCUAACUAUAGAGGUAGAACGACUCGUAUAUGUGUUGAGAAGGAGAGACCCAGCUAUGUCUUGAGCGAGAUCGGUCGACAUCCAUACAUAACUGAAGGACGGGAAAUAUGAUGGGACAGAGAGAGAGGAGAGAGAGAGAGAGAGAGAGAGAGAGGGGGAGGGAGAGGGAGGGAGAGGGGUAGAGUGCUGGAUGGGUGAUGGAGUUGCUUCUCGAAGAUGGUGGGAGAGGCCUACUAGACAAACUGAGGGUGGAACUGGAAUGUUAUCAAUAAGAGUGGGGAUGUGUUUCUGUGUGUGCCUGUGCGUGAUAGAUCUGUCGGGACGCAUCCAUGGAUGAUGAAGGGGAACCAUGUGUUUGGUAAGCAAACCUAACUAGAUCGGUAGAUCAAUUGUUGUUUGUCGGAGGAAGGGAGAGACACAACUAAUGAGGUAGAUCGAUUGACGUGUGGGUAAAAACGAGUUAUAAGGACCUAGCUAGCUAUAUGUAUAGCGAGAGAUCGGUCGGUGUACGUCCAUUUGUUAGAGGCAAAUAAGGCCCAGCGAGACGGAUAGACUGAGAAAAUGGAGCUAGGAGGUGGUGCGAGAGGCCCAACUACUAGCUAGAUAGGGGGAGGAGUGUGCGGUUGUGAGAUCGAUGAAAAGAAGGGCGAGAGUUUACACGUGUGUCUGACCGUAUGAGAGACACGAGGCAAGGACACAUAAAGGAGGAGAUUGAAGGUGUGUGUGUAUGUUGUAGGCAGGCAUCGCUGGAGAGGUUUAUCGAUCGGUGUGUGUCGGAAAGGAGUUGUGGAGACUCUGGCAGAACGACCUAAAGAAAAAAUGAAUGAGCCCAGUGGAUAGAAUGCCGAGGGAGGGGGAGGGCGAGGAGGGCGUGUGCACGCACGAGAGAAAGUUAGUGGUAGCUACAAAGGUUAGAGUAUUGUGUGGGUGUAAGAGACUAACAAAGAUCAUAAUUUGAUAUGAAAGCGGAUUCAUACAUUUGAAUAGGAGAUCAUAGUGUUUUAAACAUUGCAUGCAUGAAUAUAGCGGUGAUACACGUGCUGUGCACAUGUUAUACCAUAAUGUGAUAAUGCAUGGCGUUUGCAACUCACAGCUAAAUGCCGAACAAUCUAAACCUUACUAUACAUCAAACAAUCUCAUAGUUUAUUUGAAUUUGUGAUAAUGUGUGGCGUUGCAGCUUACAACUAAAUAUCGAACAAUCUAAACAAUACUAUAUAUCGAACAUUCUCACAUUUUAUUUGAAUUUGUGGUAAUGUGUGGUGUUUCCAACUCACAUCUAAAUACUUGUAGGCGUAGGGGGCGGGGCACCAUACAUAAUGUGAUAAACACAUUAUACAUAUGAGACAUGGUUUAGAUUAUGAAGAUCUAGCUAGAGCUAGAAAUGUAAUGUGAUUUGAAAUCAAAAUAAAGUGGAUUCAAAAAAUCUAGUUCGAGUUCAUAUAGUACACAUAGUUCAUAUGUAACUCGAGACUAAUCAUGUGGUGUGCUACGAAGAUAAUACACAAACGAUGGUUUAACUUGACAAUAAUGAUGAUUGUAGAUCUUAUUAAAACAGAGAAACGAAUUCAAAUGCUUUGACUUCACAACAAUCAUUACUGUAGAUCUUAUUCAAAUAGAGAAACGAAUUCAAAUUAAGUUCAUAUUGAAGCGGUAGUAUAUACGUUUGGAAUGCGCUAAAACGUUCAUUUGAGUAGUAGGUUGCAUGCAUUAUACACGUAGCGUAAUAUUUUAAUUGAACAUAACAUGAAUUCAAAGUUUUGAAUGACAUUUGUAGUGCGCAUUGAUUUGGUGCAGUACACGUUAGGCUUGUCCGGAAAUUUCAACCCGCGCCUUGUUAGCCCGAAAUAUUUAAGAUAUAUCUUUGUCUCGUUGUGCCCCGACAACUCCCUCCAUCUCAACCAGCGCCUUGCUAUUCCGAAAUUACAAUGCGUGCGAAAACUCCCACCUCCUGUGAAAUCCCGAUACGCGAAAUGCCCGUGGUACCCCUGAACCGAAAGAACCGCCUCAAAUUGGUGGGGGUACUUUCGUAACUUACCCCGCAUUUCGGACAAGCGCGUCUCUAAGCCAUGGUUCCCCACUGCCAUCCCAUCCGCCCACCGAUUCAUACACCGAGGCCGCAAAAACCUGCGACGAAACCCCACACCCUGCUCCGUCCGCCAGCCAGCCGGAGCCUCUUCCCCGACGACGUCGUCCACAGCAACACCUCAAUGUCCCUCAUCCACCAUACCGGAUGAGGAUCCGUCGUCGAUCUCAUCGUCCCGCCGGUUCAGCCACCCCGUCCUCCACCUCCAAGGAGCUGCCCCGACGUUCCCCUCGUCUUUCACGCCACCUCCAUUCCCACACCACCGUCUUCACCUGCACCACCGGAAGAGCAUCAUCAUCACCGUUUCCUCGGAUGAAGCUGCGGCCUAAUCGGUGCCACCAACGAGGUUGUACACUAAUCGCCGCAUUUUCUUCUUGAUUCGAUCUCACGGUGCUGCCGGCGCUCGGUCCUGAGCCGACACGGCGCGGCUCCAUCCACGGCGGCUUCGCCGGCCACUUCCUCCACGGCGUCGCUCCCUCGGCGGCGAAGUCCACAUCAGUAGGAGCUGCUACUGCUUUAGCUCUCGCUCAUGCUGCUGCUCUGCUCUUGCUCUCGGUCCCCUGCCUGGUCUGCUCUUGCUAUUGCUCUUGCUCACGCUGCUGCUCUCGCUCUUGCUCUUGCUUGCGAUGCUGCUCUGAUUUAUCUACACUUCAGUCGACUGAAUCAACUUUUNNNNNNNNNNNNNNNNNNNNNNNNNNNNNNNNNNNNNNNNNNNNNNNNNNNNNNNNNNNNNNNNNNNNNNNNNNNNNNNNNNNNNNNNNNNNNNNNNNNNNNNNNNNNNNNNNNNNNNNNNNNNNNNNNNNNNNNNNNNNNNNNNNNNNNNNNNNNNNNNNNNNNNNNNNNNNNNNNNNNNNNNNNNNNNNNNNNNNNNNNNNNNNNNNNNNNNNNNNNNNNNNNNNNNNNNNNNNNNNNNNNNNNNNNNNNNNNNNNNNNNNNNNNNNNNNNNNNNNNNNNNNUUUCAGGGGGUGGGGGUGGGGGCUCGCCGGGGUGAAGGAAGAACCAACCGCAGCGGGGAGGGGGGCUCGCCGGAGAGGUACCCCACUAUCUACCUUAGGGUUCAGGAUGGGGGCGGUGGUCGCCGGCGGUGGCGGGGCGUUGGCGGGGCGGUAGCGUGGGGAUCGCCGGAGAAAAAGCUCGGCACGGGGGCCCUAGAGGGAUGGUCGGGGCGGCGGCGGACCGGCGGUGGGGAGUGUUUUCGGGGCGGGCGGGGUGGCGCACCGCCGGCCGCGGGCGGCGGUGUCUGCUGUUUGGCCGGUGGUGGCUGGCGGCUCAGUGGUGGUGGAGGUUGAAGAUGAACCGCAGUCCCUUGAUUUCGUAUCCAAUGGCUGCAAAAUCGACUAACCAGAGAUGAAAAAGUCAGUCGACCGACGUGUAGCCUCACCUUGCUAGUGCGUUCAGUUUCGACAGCAAAAUUCAGUUUCGACAGUUAAGUUCAGUUUCGACAGUUAAGUUCUGUUUCGACAGCUAAGUUCAGUUUCGACAGUUAAGUUCGGAGAUGAGCGGCUGAUGUAUUUUACAUCUAGCACUUUGUGGUUAUGUAUUUUACGUCAUGUAUUAGAGAUGCUAUUAGAAUUCCACUCAGGUUAACGUUGUUCGUUGUCUCUCUUGUCCUGCUUCAGCCUCGGCGUCGUACAACUCACCGGAGCUGCUCCAACAACGAAACCCUCCAUCACAGCGGAGUAGUACCUCGGGCUCCAUCUCCAGACGCCUAAGAUCUUCUUCCCCUCCUCCGACAGCAAAGUCAGCCGGAGCAUCCUCACCGGCCAACCCAAUCACGCUGAGAUCGACAUGGCUUCGCCAAAGAGGUUGUACACUUGUUGCAUCUCUUUUUUACUCUACAUGUUAUAUAUAUUGUCCACUGAGCACACGGAUUUGUUCCUUUGGUGUCUCCUUGAAAGAAAAAAUGUAGGAAUUUUAAUUUCACUUGUCCUCCUUUUCAAAUUCCUGUUCAUGAAGCAUAAGACUAAGAGAUAGUAGCAUAAUAGCACUAUAACCGUACAUUUUCUUGUGGUUUGACUUAAUCUCACCAUGCUUCUUUGCAUCCUGUGAUCUUCCAAUUGUUGUGAAUCAAACAGCUAGAUUGGCAGAAAUCCUGUGUUUUUAAAUUCUCUGUUUUGCACGUGCAUUCCUAUCCUAUUCCUGUCUAUUUCCUAUCCCUGCAUUGUUGGAAUCCUCCAAUUCAAACGAGCCCUUACAGAAUUACUUCUCUUACAGAUAGUUGUCAAAGAAAACCUUGCGUGGUUUGUCCCGCUCCUGCUACGCCGUCAUCCACCCCAGCUCAGCUGCUCCAACGACAGAAGGGUCUAGCACAGCAGGGAUCCGGCCUCCAUACUGUCUUUCGCCGCCUCAGAUCUUCUUCCCCGCCGCUGGCAGCCAUGAAAACUGCAUUACCAUCAUCAACCGAGCAGAUGACCUCGAGGACUACACGGGUCCGCAAGAGAGGUCGCACUCCUUACAUAAUCUCACUAUGUUUUAUUCCUAUGCAUGAUAGUUAUUGUAAACAAUGGAACUGAACAUGUAGAGCAAAAGAGACGAGCCUUGCGUGGCAAUAAAAUUUCAUGCAGAUGUCGCUCCAUGGUAGGCGCAAAGGCAGCCCCCCUCCACGCAUUUCGGAUUGUAAUCGAGAGGAAGAUAUUUGUUCUGAGGGGCAUUCAGAAGGACAAGACAACUCCUAUUUACCCCCUGAGGUCUUCGCUCUAACUUGGCAUGCUGAUGUUGGUUAUAUCAUGCAUAUGGUGUCUUACAUUGCUUACUUUAUACAUCAAAUAUGUCAUCUGCUUAGUUUGGACAUCCUUUGUGCGAAUGCCAUCUGUUUAGUUUAUUCAUCGUUUAUGUGAAUUAUGCAACGCCAUGUUGUUUAGCCAGGCAUCAUAUAUGUGAAUUUUGCAGUGCCAUCCUGCUUAGCCAGUCAUCUUAUAUGUAAAUUAUAUCAGGUCAUCCUUUUUUCGUUACAUAUUACAUUUGUCAACAAUGUUAGUACAUUCAACUGCUCUUCGUGUGCAUCAGCCAUUUGACAUGGUGAUGGCAAAUUCUGGAGUGAAAACAAGGUCUUCAGAGCAGACUAUGCUAUCUGACGAAGCGCAUAUCUCGCUAGUUACGGAUAGCUCCUCAGAGGAGGAUUCAGAGACAGAUGACCAGUCCUAUUUCCCCCCUCCCCCAAGGUGUAUGCUCUAACUUGGCAGGGUUAUGUUGCUCAUAUCGUGCGUAUGGUGUCUCGCAUUGCUAUGUCAUUUGAAUAGUUUAGACAUGCUUUGUGUGAAUGCUACCUAUUCAGUGUCUAAUUACCAUAUAUGUGGAUUAUGCAUUGCCAUCUUGUUGCAAGACAUUAUAUAUGUGAAUUAUACAAUGCUAUCUUGUUGCAAAGGCAUUAUAUAUGUGAAUUAUGCAAUGCCAUGCUGUUUAGGCAAUCAUCAUGUAUGUGAAUUAUAUCAUGCUAUCAUUUUUUGUAUUAUGUGUUCCAUUUGUCGACAACGUUUGUAUAUUCAACUACUCUUCCUGUGCAUCAGCCAUUUGAAGCGGUGAUGGAAGUAUGUGGAGUGAAAAUAAGGUAUUCGAAGCAGACAAUGCAACCUGCUGAAGCAGACAUCUUGCUGGUUACAGAGAGCUCCUCAGAGGAGGAUUCAGAGACUGAUGACCAGUCCUAUUUCCCCCCUGAGGUCUAUGCUUAAACUUGGCAGGGUUAUAUUACCCAUGUCAUGCAUGUUGUCUUGCAUUCCUUAGUUUUUACAUCAUAUAUGGAUUUCCAUCUGCUGACUUGCUUACUAUAUAAAUCAUAUAUUUGAAUUCUAUCAUGCCAUCAUGUUUACAUAGUAAAUACGCAUCAUCUAUCUGAAUUAUGGCAUGGCAACCCAUUUAAUAAAGACAUCAUAUAGUUAUAUCAUCUCAUCCUGUUUAGUGUUUACAGUCAUCAUAUUUUGAAUUAUGGCAUUCUAUCCGUGAAUGUAUGUGAAUUAUGGCAUGCCAAUCUAUUUAAUAAACACAUUAUAUAGUUAUGUCAUGUCAACCUGUUUACAUAGUCUCAUAUUUUGAACUAUGUCUUUCCAUCUUUUUUAGUUAGCCAUCAUAUAUGUGAUAUUGUGUCAUGCUAUCCUGUUUGGUUUGACAACAUAAAUAUGAAUUAUUUCAUGCCCUCUUUUAUUCCCCACUAUCCAUUGCACCUGUCUAUCAUACAAUGUCUAUACUUUCAAUUACUUUUCUUGUUUAUCAGCCAUUUGAAUUCGAGAGCGUGAUGGCAGUAUCUAAGGGAGUAACAACACGGUCUUCAGAAAAGAUAGUGCUACCAGUUGAUGCAGAUAGAACCACGGUUGUGCUUGCCCAAGGACCAGAUCCACCACACAUAACCCAGACUCUCGCAGAUUGUACCCCUACCCAGUUGGACAGAGAACCAGCUACACCCCUUCUAACCCCAACCCCGGCAGAUAGUAACCCAAUUCCAAUUGACACAUCACCGUCUCCACCACAGAGCACCCAAACACGAGCAGUUAGUAAGGGAACUGCAGUGCCCAAAGCACAAGGACCACCACUCCGAAUCCCAACUCAACGCUUACAGGAGAAGAAGAUUUGUUCUCAGGUCAGGUUCUGUAGCUAUGGUUCAUACUCCUUUGCUCUUGCAUUACUGUAUUUACUCAUACCAACUAUUUUCAAACUUGAAGGAUGGAAUUGAAACUCCAAUGGCGCAACAGGUAUGUUUUAAACCUGUUUCUUUAACUGGUUUGCUGUUGUAACCUGCUCUAUAUUGAUUUCAGUUUCAAUUGAAUAAACAGUUAUGUUCUCAUGUCAUGCACAUUACAAGUGUUGUUAUUGCUCUAUAGUUACCCACACUUAUAUUCUGUCUAUUCUGCUUUGUCUUGAACAAAUAUUAUUCGAAUUGUGUCUCUAUCUUGAUUUGGCAACAAAAACUAGAAUGAUAUAGACCAUAAAGUGACCAUGGUACAUAGAUAUAUGUUUGUUUCAUGCUGUUAUCCUGUCCAGUUUACUACUGAACUCAUUUACCAAAAUGAGUUUCACAUACAACAUAGUAAACAUGUGAUGUGUCUGCUUGUUUCUCUUUUAGAAUGCGGACAAAAUAUUGGAGAACAGUACCGCGUUAUCCAAUGGUAAAGGAAGUAAUGCAGAUAAGGUUCAAGAUAGUGAGACAUCCCUGUUAGUCUCCAAGAAAGCUGAUAAAAACUAUCUUGACGACAGUGAGGGAACCCAAAAGUCCUGUCUUGAUGUAGUGUUCGAAUUACUGGCCACUACUGCUGGCACAAGCUCUUCGAACUCGCUGCCUGAAUUAGUUCAUCUUCUUGAGUCUCAACUUCAAGUUGAAAGACAUCGAUCAGAUGUGCUUCGGCAGGAAGCUGAAGGACUGAGGAAGUCCCUGCAGAAUUCAGAUGCAUAUUUUCUGGUGCAACAGCAAGCGCUGGAGGAUUUAAGCGCCAAACAAGAGAAAGUUAAUAAGCCUUCUAAACAUCUUGCCAGCAUUAUGGGUACCCAGGAUAUUGUUUCUUGAGAUCUUCUGAAGUGGUUUCAGUUCUGGAUUUGUUUUGCUGCGGCGUUUAUUUGCGCUGGUCGCCAACUUUGACAGCCAGUGUAUAUGAUAUGCUGCUUUGUUCCUAUAUUUGCACUGGUGGCGAACUUUGAUGCCCAGUGGAUGUAAUAUGUGUAAUAGCCGUGAUAGCCUAGCGUUAGUUGCUUGAUUAUUUAUUUCCUUGUUGUCUUGUUUAUUUGUUUGCUUGUAGUCAUUGCAGUUCUUUUUCCGCGGUUAGCUAGUGGCUGCAAUAACCUAUUUUUUAAAACUAGGCCACAAUAACCAUGGGCUAAUAUUUACUGUAGUGACACUGGGCCUCCAACUAGCCGUAGAAAUAGUGGGCCUUCUACGGGCCGUAGAAACAAUGGGCGUUCUAUGGGCUAUAGAAACAAUGGGCCUUCUGCGGGCCGUAUCAUCAAUGGGCCUUAUACUGGCCGUAUGAUCGAUUGGCCAAACAUGGGCCAAACAGACCGCAUUAUGGCCGUAAACGGGCUAGAUUUGGAAUCGUCCGUUCAUGGGCCGACCAUAACGGGCCAUCGUUAAUAGUCUGUAUUUGGUGAUGCUAUGAAAAUGGCCCAACAGACUAACGGUCCACAAACGGGCCGACUGUAACGACGGGCUGAAUUUGGCCCACAAGCAGAAAAUGACAGUAACGGGUCGUAAGUAACCGAAUGCUGCAAAUGAGCCCAAGAAUAAAUGGGCCCUCAGAAGGCCGAAGGUAACUUGGGCAGGAAACGGCCCAACGGAAUAAUGGGCCGUCAAUGGGUAUAAAGUGAUACACUGUUCAUUACGGGCCAGUUUCACCACGGGCCGUUCAUGGGUGUAAAGUAAUACAUUGUUCAUUACGGGCCAGUUUCAGCACGGGCCGCUAAUGGGUCAAGAGUUACAAAGGGCCUCAUAUGGGCCGAAAGACAUCAUGGUCUAUACAUGGGCCAGAAGUGAAAACGGGCUGGAAUCAUAUUGGAUGGCCCAGAUGACGCUACUGGGCCUAAUUCGGAUAGGGCGUAACGGGCCUUGGGUUAGCGGGCUGUAAAUGGGCAAUAUGCGAACGUGCCGUUAACAGGCUUUCCAUGGGCCGGCCCGCUAGCUUUUGACCAAGUCAAACGGGCCGGCCUUUUCACAGGAAUGGGCCACUGUUGGGCCGUGCCACGUGUCGACGUAUCAUAGGCGCCUUCUGUCCACUGAGUGGAUGACAUCUGUCCCAACGAUGAGCCGACACGUGUUUCCUCUAGCCAAUGAUGAUUUCACACGUGGAAAAUCCCCAUUGGUCGGGGCUGUUAACGGGUUAUCGGAUCCAAAACCCGACCCAAUAGCUUAGAUGCCACGUGUCGGUCACCCUUGACGAAAGCACUUUUGUGACGCGCGAUUUAUCGUCAUGGAAGUGGACACUUCCGUGAUGAUAAUUUUGGUAAUGUCAUGGAACACUUCUACGACAGCACAUGUAUGACUAUCUUGAUUCUGUCAUAAAUUUGUCAUGGAUGUACAUGCAUGACAAAAAACGUGACCUACUGUGACAAACACGUAUCAUCACGGAAGUGUAUUUUUUUGUAGUGCAACUAGACGUAUCAACGGGCUAUGGAGAUGCCCAUCCAUAGAUAUCAAUGUGAAUGAGUAGGGAUUGCCAUGCAAUGGAUGCACUAGAGCUAUAAGUGUAUGAAAGCUCAACAAGAAACUAAGUGGGUGUGCAUCCAACUUGCUUGCUCACGAAGAUCUAGGGCAAUUUGAGGAAGCCCAUCAUUGGAAUAUACAAGCCAAGUUCUAUAAUGUAAAAUUCCCACUAGUAUAUGAAAGUGACAACAUAGAAGACUCUCUAUCAUGAAUAUCACGGUGCUACUUUGAAGCACAAAUGUGGUAAAAGGAUAGUAGCAUUGCCCCUUCUCUCUUUUUCUCUCAUUUUUUAUUUUUUUUAUUUGGGCCUUUUCUCUUUUUUAUGGCCUCUUUUUUUAGUCCGGAGUCUCAUCCUGACUUGUGGGGGAAUCAUAGUCUCCAUCAUCCUUUCCUCACUGGGACAAUGCUCUAAUAAUGAUGAUCAUCACACUUUUAUUUACUUACAACUCAUGAAUUACAACUCGAUACUUAGAACAAAAUAUGACUCUAUAUGAAUGCCUCCGGUGGUGUACCGGCAUGUGCAAUGAAUCAAGAGUGACAUGUAUAAAGAUAAUGAACGGUGGCUUUGCCACAAAUACGAUGUCAACUACAUGAUCAUUCAAAGCAAUAUUACAAUGAUGGAGCGUGUCAUAAUAAACGGAACGGUGGUAAGUUGCAUGGCAAUAUAUCUCGGAAUGGCUAUGGAAAUGCCAUGAUAGGUAGGCAUGGUGGCUGUUUUGAGGAAGGUAUAUGGUGGGUGUAUGAUACCGGCGAAAGGUGUGCGGUAUUAGAGAGGCUAGCAAUGGUGGAAGGGUGAGAGUGCGUAUAAUCCAUGGACUCAACAUUAGUCAUAAAGAACUCAUAUAAUUAUUGCAAAAAUCUAUUAGUUAUCGAAACAAAUUACUACACGCAUGAUCCUAGGGGGAUAGAUUGGUAGGAAAAGACCAUCGCUCGUCCCCGACCGCCACUCAUAAGGAAGACAAUCAAUAAAUAAAUCAUGUUCCGACUUCAUCACAUAACGGUUCACCAUACGUGCAUGCUACGGGAAUCACAAAAUUUACCACAAGUAUCUCUCAAAUACACAGCUACUCAACUAGCAUGACUCUAAUAUCACCAUCUUCAUAUCUCAAAACAAUCAUAAGGAAUCAAACUUCUCAUAGUAUUCAAUGCACUUUAUAUGAAAGUUUUUAUUAUAUCCCUCUUGGAUGCCCAUCAUAUUAGGACUAGUUUCAUAACCAAAGCAAAUCACCAUGCUGUUCUAAAGACUCUCAAAAUAAUAUAAGUGAAGCACGAGAGUUCCUCUAUUUCUUCAAAAUAAAACUACAGUCGUGCUCUAAAAGAUAUAAGUGAAGCACUAGAGCAAACGACAAACUACUCCGAAAGAUAUAAGUGAAGAUCAAUGAGUAGUCGAAUAAUUGUGCAACUAUGUGAAGACUCUCUAACAUUUAAGAAUUUCAGAUCUUGGUAUUUUAUUCAAACAGCAAGCAAAACAAAAGAAAAUAAAAUGACGCUCCAGGCAAAACACAUAUCAUGUGGUGAAUAAAAAUAUAGCUCCAAGUAAAGUUACCGAUGAACGAAGACGAAAGAGGGGAUGCCAUCCGGGGCAUCCCCAAGCUUAGGCUCUUGGUUGUCAUUGAAUAUUAACUUGGGGUGCCUUGGGCAUCCCCAAGCUUAGGCUCUUGCCACUCCUUAUUCCAUAGUCCAUCGAAUCUUUACCCAAAACUUGAAAACUUCACAACACAAAACUUAACAGAAGAUCUCGUGAGCUCCGUUAGCGAAAGAAAACAAAACACCACUUCAAGGUACUGUAAUGAACUCAUUAUUUAUUUGUAUUGGUUUUAAAUCUACUGUAUUCCAACUUCUUUAUGGUUUAUAAACUAUUUUACUAGCCAUAGAUUCAUCAAAAUAAGCAAACAACGCCCGAAAAACAGAAUCUGUCAAAAACAGAACAAUCUGUAGUAAUCUGUACCAAACGCAAACUUCUGGAACUCAAAAAAUUCUACCAAAAUAGGACGACCUAGAUAAUUUGAUUAUUGAUCUUCUGCAAUUGGAAUCCGUAUUUUAUCUCUUUCUGGUGAUUUUAAACAAUUCUUUCCGUGAACAGAAAGUUUCUGGAAUUUUCAGCAAGAUCAAAUAACUAUCAUCCAAGAAGAUCCUAUAUGUCUUAAUUGGCACAAACAAUAAUUAAAACAUAAAACCACAUCUAACCAGAGGCUAGAUCAAAUAUGUAUUACUAAACAUAACCAAAAAGAAAGAACAAAAAUAAAAAUUGGGUGCCUCCCAACAAGCGCUAACGUUUAACGCCCCUAGCUAGGCAUGAUGAUUUCAAUGAUGCUCGCGUAAAAGAUAAGAAUUGAAACAUAAAGAGAGCAUCAUGAAGAAUAUGACUAGCACAUUUAAGUCUAACCCACUUCCUAUGCAUAGGUAUUUGUGAGAAAACAACUUAUGGGAACAAUAAUCAACUAGCAUAGGAAGGCAAAACAAGCAUAACUUCAAAACUUUAAGCACAUAGAGAGGAAACUUGAUAUUAUUGCAAUUCCUACAAGCAUACAUUCCUCCCUCAUAAUAAUUUUCAGUAGCAUCAUGAAUGAAUUCAACAAUAUAACCAGCACCUAAAGCAUUCUUUUCAUGAUCUACUUGCAUAGAAAUUUUACUACUCUCCACAUAAGCAAAAUUCUUCUCUUUCGGAAUAGUGGGAGUAUCAUACGAGACUCGAAUACUAUAAAUUAUUUCCACGUUAAAAGAGUAAUGUUCAGAAAAAGGGUAAUCAUAAUCAUGACAAGUUUUAUAAAUAUAAUCAUCACUACUUUUUAUAGCAUAAGUGUCAUCACAAUAAUCAUCAUAAAUAGGAGGCAUGCUAUCAUCAUAAUAAAUUUGCUCAUCAAAACUUGGGAGGCUAAAAAUAUCAUCUUCAUUAAAAAUAGCAUCCCCAAGCUUGGGACAAACAUUAAUUGCAGCAAAUAUAUUCUCAAACAUGUCAUUCUCAUCAAACAUAGCAUCCCCAAGCUUGGGCAUUUUCAUAUCAUAAGCAUAAUCACUCUCAUCAUUAAUAGUAUGGAUAGCACCAAUAGUAUAGUAAUUAUCAUCGCAAUGAGUAAUAGGAGCAACAUCAUUUGGGAGGGAUACCUUUCUACCUUUACUUAUCCGUCUUUUCUUUUUCUUCUUCACAUCAUGUGUGGGCUCAAUCCUCUUUUUGGAGCUCCUUAUUAAUGAGAUUGGUUGAAUAGAAGGCUCCACCUCAUUACCUGAUUCAUCAUAAGAAAUAAUAGGAGAAUAUUGGGAAGUCUCUUCCCUUUCGUUAGUAUUCUCUUCAUCUUCUAUUUGUUUUGUUUUCUUUAUGUAAUUGGCAAUAUAAGGAUUUUCGAUGCAAUUCACCGCACAAAACAUAUAAAUUUCCUCUCGAUCAAAAUUAAGAACUCUAUCAAGAGAAAAUUCUGGAAUAACCUUAGUUAUAUGUUUCAUUUCUUCAUAACCCAAGAGCAAACUAAGUUCAUUAUGAUGUGCAAGGGAAAUCAAGUCAUCACAAUUUUUGGACAUGAUACGAUCAUGAAACAAUUUGCAUUGCGUACUGAAAUGAUCACGUUCAUUGCAAAGUUCACAAGUACGGCUAAGAAAGUUUAAAUUUUCAGCACAAACAUCUAGCCUCUCUUGCAACCAUUUAGUUUCUAAGUACUUGUCCCUCUUACAAAAUCUAUAUUCCCUUUUUGGUAUGUAUUUGCAAACUCUAUGCACUCCACAGAAAUCGACAUGCUUAUAGGAAACAUUUUCAUCAUGAAUAGUGCAAUCAUCAUUAGUACCAUGGAUAUUCAAAGAGUUCAUACUAACAAUAUUGCAAUCAUGCUCAUCAUUCAAAGAUUCAGUGCCAAACAUUUUAUAGACUUCUUCUUCUAGAACUUGAGCACAAUUUCCCUUUCCAUCAUUCUCACGAAAGAUAUUAAAAAGAUGAAGCGUAUGAGACAAACUCAAUUCCAUUUUUUUGUGGUUUUCUUUUAUAAACUAAACUUGUGAUAAAACAAGAAGCUAAAAGAUUCAAUUGCAAGAUCUAAAGAUAUACCUUCAGGCACUCACCUCCCCGGCAAUGGCUAGUAGACGUUGUUGGGCCUCCAAGUGCAGAGGUUUGUAGGACAAUAGCAAAUUUCCCUCAAGUGGAUGACCUAAGGUUUAUCAAUCCAUGGGAGGCGUAGGAUGAGGAUGGUCUCUCUCAAACAACCCUGCAACCAAAUAACAAAGAGUCUCUUGUGUCCCCAACACACCCAAUACAAUGGUAAAUUGUAUAGGUGCACUAGUUCAGUGAAGAGAUGGUGAUACAAGUGCAAUAUGGAUGGUAGAUAUAGGUUUUUGUAAUCUGAAAAUAUAAAAACAGCAAGGUAACUAAUAAUAAAAGUGAGCGUAAACGGUAUUGCAAUGCUAGGAAACAAGGCCUAGGGUUCAUACUUUCACUAGUGCAAGUUCUCUCAACAAUAAUAACAUAAUUGGAUCAUAUAACUAUCCCUCAACAUGCAAAAAAGAGUCACUCCAAAGUCACUAACAGCGGAGAACAAACGAAGAGAUUAUGGUAGGGUACGAAACCACCUCAAAGUUAUUCUUUCGGAUCGAUCUAUUCAAGAGUCCGUAGUAAAAUAACACGAAGCUAUUCUUUCCGUUCGAUCUAUCAUAGAGUUCGUACUAGAAUAACACCUUAAGACACAAAUCAACCAAAACCCUGAUGUCACCUAGAUACUCCAAUGUCACCUCAAGUAUCCGUGGGUAUGAUUAUACGAUAUGUAUCACACAAUCUCAGAUUCAUCUAUUUCAACCAACACAGAGAACUUCAAAGAGUGCCCCAAAGUUUCUACCAGAGAGUCAAGACGAAAACGUGUGCCAACCCCUAUGCAUAAGUUCACGAGGUCACGGAACCCACAAGUUGAUCACCAAAACAUACAUCAAGUGAAUCACGUGAUAUCCCAUUGUCACCACAGAUAAGCACAUGCAAGACAUACAUCAAGUGUUCUCAAAUCCUUAAAGACUCAAUUCGAUAAGAUAACUUCAAAGGGAAAACUCAAUCCAUCACAAGAGAGUAGAGGGGGAGAAACAUAAUAGGAUCCAACUACAAUAGCAAAGCUCACGAUACAUCAAGACUGUGCCACCUCAAGAACAUGAGAGAGAGAGAGAGAGAUCAAACGCAUAGCUACUGGUACAUACCCUCAGCCUCGAGGGUGAACUACUCCCUCCUUGUCAAGGAGAUCGCCGGGAUGAUAAAGAUGGCCACCGGUGAUGGAUCCCCCAUCCGGCAGAGUGCGGAACAGGGUCCCGAUUGGUUUUUGGUGGCUACAGAGGCUUGCGGCGGCGGAACUCCCGAUCUAUUCUGUUCUCCGAUGUUUUUAGGGUAUAUGGACAUAUAUAGGCGAAAGAAGUCGGUCAGGGGAGCCACGAGGGGCCCAUGAGGGUGGGGGCGCGCCCAGGGGCAGGCGCGCCUCCCUGCCUCGUGGCCACCUUGUUGCUUCCCUGACGUACACUCCAAGUCUCCUGGAUUGCUUCCGUUCCAAAAAGAACUCUCUCGAAGGUUUCAUUCCGUUUGGACUCCGUUUGAUAUUCCUUUUCUUCGAAACACUAAAAUAGGCAAGAAAACAACAAUUUGGGCUGGGCCUCCGGUUAAUAGGUUAGUCCCAAAAAUAAUAUAAAAGUGUUUAGUAAAGCCCAUAAAAUAUCCAAAACAGAUAAUAUAAUAGCAUGGAACAAUAAAAAAAUUAUAGAUACGUUGGAGACGUAUCAAUUCCCAAGGUGACAUUGGGGUAAUCUAUGCAUAGGGGUUGAUGCACGUUCUUGUCUUUGUUUCUCCGGUAGAAAUCUUGGGGCACUCUUUGAAGUUCUUUGUGUUGGACUGAGUAUUAUGAAUAUGGAUUUGCUUUGGUGUUAUUUUCGUACGAACUCUAGGAUAGAUCGAACGGAAAGAAUAGCUUUGUGUUAUUUUAGUACGAACUCUUGAGUAGAUCGAACGGAAAGAAUAGCUUUGAGGUGGUUUUGUGCCCUACAAACAAUUUAUUCUUAUGCUCUCCGCUAGAUAGGAACUUUGGAGUGAUUCUCCGUCGCACUUUGAGGGGUGGUUAUAUGAUCCAAUUAUAAUAGCAUUGUCGAGAUAUUGCACUAGCGAAAGUACGGACCCUAGGCCUCAUUUUCAAGCAUUGCAAUACCGUUUUUGUGCCUGUUUACUAUUUGCUACCUUGCUGUUUUUAUUUAUUCAGACUAUAAAAAUAUAUUUCUACCAUCCAUAUUACACUUUUAUCACCAUCUCUUCACCGAACUAGUGCACCUAUACAAUUUGCCAUUGUAUUGGGUGUGUUGGGGACACAAGAGAUUUCCUGUAUUUGGUUGCAGGGUCAUUUGAGAGAGACCAUCUUCAUCCUACACCUCUCAUGGAUUGAUAAACCUUAGAUCAUCCACUUGAGCGAAAAUUGCUACUGUCCUACAAAACUCUGCGCUUGGAGGCCCAACACGUGUCUACAAGAAUAAAGUUGCGUAGUAGACAUCAAGCUCUUUUCUGGCGCCGUUACCGGGGAGGUUAGUGCUUGAAGGUAUAUCUUUAGAUAUUGCAAUUGAAUCUUUUAGUUUCUUGUUUUAUCACUAGUGUGACGCCCGGAUAAUCAAGCUACAGUAAAACUCUGCUAAUGAUGCCACGUCACCUCCGUUACUGUUUCGAAUCCUUCGUUAGUUCAAAACCAGAUUCAAAAAUCAAUUCAAAAUAUGGCAAACAACAAAAGUUUUCAAACUUUGAAACAAAAAUGUUUGGAGUGAACCAAAUAUUGCACAGAUAAUUAUGGUGGAGAAACCACACCUUUAUAAAAUGUUUAAAUACUAUGAGAUGAAUAAAACAGUAGCAAAAACAAUUAUAUAAGUGUUUUUAAAUAUAAACAAAUAUUAAACUAGUUUAUUUAGUCACUAAAAACUUUUUACAACUCCGAUUUAGGUGUGGGCUUUAACUUAUUAUAAAACUAUAACUAUUAAAGAAAUAAAAUAAAACAGUAAAGGAAAAUAAAUAAAAGAAAACACAAACAAAAACAAAACAACUGCCCCCCCCCUGCUGGGCCAAGUGGCCCAGCUGGCCUCAGCCGCCCGAACGGGCCGGCCCACCCCGGUCCACCUCCCCUACUAACCCCCCGCUACCCCGUAACCCUAACCCCCACCAGUCGCCCCCGAUCCCCACUCCCUCGUCUCCCNNNNNNNNNNNNNNNNNNNNNNNNNNNNNNNNNNNNNNNNNNNNNNNNNNNNNNNNNNNNNNNNNNNNNNNNNNNNNNNNNNNNNNNNNNNNNNNNNNNNNNNNNNNNNNNNNNNNNNNNNNNNNNNNNNNNNNNNNNNNNNNNNNNNNNNNNNNNNNNNNNNNNNNNNNNNNNNNNNNNNNNNNNNNNNNNNNNNNNNNNNNNNNNNNNNNNNNNNNNNNNNNNNNNNNNNNNNNNNNNNNNNNNNNNNNNNNNNNNNNNNNNNNNNNNNNNNNNNNNNNNNNNNNNNNNNNNNNNNNNNNNNNNNNNNNNNNNNNNNNNNNNNNNNNNNNNNNNNNNNNNNNNNNNNNNNNNNNNNNNNNNNNNNNNNNNNNNNNNNNNNNNNNNNNNNNNNNNNNNNNNNNNNNNNNNNNNNNNNNNNNNNNNNNNNNNNNNNNNNNNNNNNNNNNNNNNNNNNNNNNNNNNNNNNNNNNNNNNNNNNNNNNNNNNNNNNNNNNNNNNNNNNNNNNNNNNNNNNNNNNNNNNNNNNNNNNNNNNNNNNNNNNNNNNNNNNNNNNNNNNNNNNNNNNNNNNNNNNNNNNNNNNNNNNNNNNNNNNNNNNNNNNNNNNNNNNNNNNNNNNNNNNNNNNNNNNNNNNNNNNNNNNNNNNNNNNNNNNNNNNNNNNNNNNNNNNNNNNNNNNNNNNNNNNNNNNNNNNNNNNNNNNNNNNNNNNNNNNNNNNNNNNNNNNNNNNNCCCCUGGCUGCGUCUAGCGCUCCGUGCCCGGCGCCCGUCCGCGCGGUCCCACUCCGGCACCACCUCCUGCUGCCGUCACGACCACCCCCUCGCCGUGCCGCCCCGGCGCCAUGCCGUCGCCGUUGCCCCUUUGGCAGUUGAGGCGUGCGCCCGAACGAACGGGUGCUGGGCACCCGUUGCGCCCAUUCGCCCAGUGCCCGCUGCACCCCCCUGAGCCACUGACACGAGGACCCCACCCCAGAACGUAAAAAAAAAGAAGAAAAAAAAAGAAAAAAAAGAAGAAUAAAAAAAAUAAAUAAUAAUAAUAUAUUAAAAACAAUUAAUUAAUUAAAGAAUUAAUUAACCUAAUUAAUUUUUGAUUAAUUAAACUAAUCUAAUAACUAAACUAAUUAAACUAUUAGUUAAUUAAUUAAUCAGUCAAUGACAGCUGGGUCCCGCACAUCAGUUUGACCCAGUCAACGCCCUGUUGACUGCUGACGUCAUGAUGACGUCAGCAGGCCCUAUUCUGGAUAAUGUUGAAUUAAAUAAAUUAAAUAAAUUCUAAAAUGAUUUAAAACUUUGAAAAUUCAUAUCUUUUAAACCAUAACUCGGAUGAAAAUGUUUUCUAUAUGAAAGUUGCUCAGAACGACGAGACGAAUCCAAAUACGCAGUCCGUUCGUCCACCACACCUCCCUAACCUAUCGAACUCGCAACUUUCCCCCUCCGGUCCGUCUGUUCGAAAACGCGAAACAUCGGGAAGACUUUCCCGGAUGUUUCCCCCCUUCACCGGUAUCACCUCAUACCGCGUUAGAACACGUCUAGCUCUGCCUGUUGUCUUGUUAUGCACUUGCUUGCUAUGUAUUUACUGUUUCUCCCCCCUCUUCUCUUCGGUAGACCCCGUGACGAUGCUGAUGCCCCUGUGGUCGACUACGUCACCGAUGACCCAUCCUUCUUGUCUGAGCAACCAGGCAAGCCCCCCCUUGAUCACCAGAUAUCGCCUACUCUACUCUCUACUACUUGCAUUAGAGUAGUGUAGCAUGUUACUGCUUUCGAUUAAUCCUAUUCUGUUGCAUAGCCUGUCAUUGUUGCUACAGUUGUUCCCCUUACCUGCUAUCCUACUGCUUAGUCUAGGAUGCUAGAUUUCCAUCAGUGGCCCUACAUUCUUGUCCGUCUGCUGUGCUAUACUAUCGGGCCGUGAUCACCUGGGCGGUGAUCACGGGUAUAUACUAUAUACAUUAUAUACAUGACACAUGUGGUGACUAAAGUCGGGUCGGCUCGAGGAGUACCCGCAGGUGAUUCUGAUGAGGGGGCUGAAAGGACAGGUGGCUCCACCCCGGUAGAGGUGGGCCUGGGUUCUUGACGGCCCCCGACUGUUACUUUGUGGCGAAGCGACAGGGCAGGUUGAGACCACCCAGGAGAGAGGUGGGCCUGGCCCUGGUCGGCGUUCGCGGAUAAACAACACGCUUAACGAGUUCUGGGUAUUUGAUCUGAGUCUGGCCAUUUGGUCUAUACGCACUAACCAUCUACGUGGGAGUAGUUAUGGGUAUCCCGACGUCGUGGUAUCAGCCGAAGCUCUUUUGACGUCAGCGACUGAGUGGCGCGCGCCGGAUUGGACUGGAACGCCACUAGGCUAGGUCUGCUUCCGGCCGCGUACGCAACGUGCAGGUGUGCAUAGGGCGAUGGGCCCAGACCCCUGCGCGCAUAGGUUUAGACCGGCGUGCUGGCCUCUCUGUUGAGCCUAGGUGGGGCUGCGACGUGUUGAUCUUACGAGGCCGGGCAUGACCCAGAAAAGUGUGUCCGGCCAAAUGGGAUCGAGCGUGUUGGGUUAUGUGGUGCACCCCUGCAGUAAAGUUUAUCUAUUCGAAUAGCCGUGUCCCUCGGUAAAAGGACGACCCGGAGUUGUACCUUGACCUUAUGACAACUAGAACUGGAUACUUAAUAAAACACACCCUUCCAAGUGCCAGAUAUAACCCGGUGGUCGCUCUCUAACAGGGUGACGAGGAGGGGAUCGCCGGGUAGGAUUAUGCUAUGCGAUGCUACUUGGAGGACUUCAACCUACUCUCUUCUAUAUGCUGCAAGAUGGAGAUGUCCAGAAGCGUAGUCUUCGACAGGACUAGCUAUCCCCCUCUUAUUCUGGCAUUCUGCAGUUCAGUCCACUGAUAUGCCCCUUUACACAUAUUCCCAUGCAUAUGUAGUGUAGCUCCUUGCUUGCGAGUACUUUGGAUGAGUACUCACGGUUGCUUUUCUCCCUCUUUUCCCCUUUCUAUACCGGAUUGUCGCAACCAGAUGCUGGAGUCCAGGAGCUAGAGAUCCCGAGGAUGAUUCUACAACGAGUUCGGCUUCGAGGAGUAGUUAGGAGGUCCCAGGCAGGAGGCCUUGCCUUUUCGAUCGUGGCUACUUUUGUGCUAGCCUUCUUAAGGCAAACUUGUUUAACUUAUGUCUGUACUCAGAUAUUGUUGCUUCCGCUGACUCGUCUAUGAUCGAGCACUUUUAUUCGAGCCCUCGAGGCCCCUGGCUUGUAUUAUAAUGCUUGUAUGACUUAUUUAUGUUUUAGAGUUGUGUUGUGAUAUCUUCCCGUGAGUCCCUGAUCUUGGUCGUACACAUUUGCGUGCAUGAUUAGUGUACGGUCAAAUCGGGGGCGUCACAACUAGUUUGGUUUAUAAAAAGAAAACUACAAAAAUAUGGAAUUGAGGAAAAUUGUGCUCCAUUGUUAGAAGAAGAAUUCUAUAAAAUGUUUGACAAAAAAUCUUUGAAUGAUGAGCAUGAUUGCAAUGUUGUUGGUAUGAACUCUUUGAAUAUCCAUGAUGCUAGUGAUAUGCAAAGCCAUAAGCUUGGGGAUGCUAUGUUUGAUGAAGAUGAUAUUUUUAGUCCCCCAAGAUUUGAUGUGCAAAUUUGUUAUAAUGAUUGCAUGCCUCCUAUUUAUGAUGAUUAUAUUGAUGAAAGUGGGUUUGGAAGAGUGUCAACUUUAGAUAGUGAUCCCACUAUUUUGGAGGGUGUUGAAUCUUAUUGUUAUAAUGAUAAAAAUGGAAUUGGAAAGGUCAUGACUUUAUUUAGUGAUGAAUCCACUAUUUCGGAAGAGGUUCCAAUUGAUUAUGAGAACAAAAUUGCUAUAUAUGAUGAUUAUGGUGAUGACAUGUAUGCUAUAAAGAAUAAUGAUAACCAUGAAACUUGUCAUCAUGAUUUUAAUUUUCACUCUCAUGAUAGUUAUUUUGUUGAGUUUGCUCCCACUACUAUUGAUGAGAAGAAUUUUUCUUAUGUGGAGAGUAAUGAGUUUUCUAUGCUUUUGUGUCAUGAAAAGAAUGCUUUAUGUGAUAGUUAUAUUUUUUAUUUUCUUCAUGAUGCAACUGAAAUUUUUUUAUGAGGUAAGAACAUAUGCUUGUAGGAAUUGCAAUAAUAUCAAGUUUCCUGUCUAUGUGUUGAAAGUUUUGAAGUUAUGCUUGUUUUGCCUUCCUAUGCUAGUUGAUUAUUGUUCCCAUAAGUUGUUUGCUCACAAAAUACCUAUGCAUAGGAAGUGGGUUAGACUUAAAUGUGCUAGUCAUAUGCUUCAGGAUGCUCUCUUUGUGUUUCAGUUCUUUACUUUUAUGCGCGCAUCAUUGAAAUCAUCAUGCCUAGCUAAAAGGCACUAAAGAAAAGCGCUUGUUGGGAGACAACCCAAAACUUUUACCUACUGUUUUUGUGUGUUCACAUGAUUAGGCUACUAUAGUAAUCAUGUUUUAUUGCAUUCGUUUCAAUAAAGUGCCAAGUAAGACCUUUGGGAUCUUGCUAAAAAACAGAAACGUUGGCGCUGACGAAAAUAAGUCUCAUUUUUAACAUAAGAGUGCUUUUGAGUUGAUUAUUUUUGCAGAAGUUUAAUAUACUAAUUGCUCACGUGGUCAUAAUUUUUUGAGUAGCAGAAGUAUGGUAGUUAUCCAGAUCAUUACAGACUGUUCUGUUUUUGACAGAUUCUGUUUUCAAUGCAUAGUUUGCUUGUUUUCUAGUUUCUAUGGCUUAUAUUACUCAAUAUAAAUUGUGGAAAUGAUGAGGUACAGUAGGCAUUGUGUGGAAAAAAUUAUGAACCUUAUCUUUGACAGUACCAAAGUGAGAUGGUUUGCUCUUUAUCAUACUAACCUAUCUCACGAAGUUCCGUUAAGUUUUGUGUGAUUGAAGUUUUCAAGUUUUAGGUGAGAUAUCGAUAUGAGGAGAAUAAGGAGUGACAAGACACUAAGCUUGGGGAUGCCCAAGGCACCCCAAGCUAAUAUCCAAGGAAGAUCCAAGCAACUAAGCUUGGGGAUGCCCGGAAGGCAUCCCCUCUUUCGUCUCCAACAUUAUCGGUAACCUCCCUUGGAGCUAUGUUUUCUUCGUCACAUGAUUUUUUUUUGUUUGGAGCAUCAUUUUAUUUUGUUAGGAUUUUAUUGUUGUUAUUUAGAAUAAUCUUUUGCAUCUUUUAUUUCGAUAAAAGUGGCAAUGAUAGCCUUUGCCAUGCUUAUUUUGCAAGUAUACAUGUUGCUGUUUGAAAACAGAAAGUUUACCGGUGUUGCAAAAAUUCCCUAGAAAAGUCAAAAUGUGAUAAAAUGUUGAAACUUCUUGAAUAAUAAGCUAUGAUAAAUUCUCUACAGUGUGGUAGAAUUCCAUAAUGUUUGGAGUUGAAUAAGUAUUGAUACUCUUGCAUUCUUUACAAACUGUACUGUUUUGGCAGAUUGCUGUUAUGUUUGCAUUGUUUGCAUAUGUUUGCUUGUUUAAUGAUCCUAUUUGUGCAUAUGAGUAUUAAAUAUGCAGAGGCAUUUAGUAUGCAAUGUUGAAUAAUAAUUUUAGUGAUUUGCUGCAGUAGAUAAUGAUAAGGUUUUUGCAUUGGUUUAUACUGACUUAUCUCACGAGUUCUUGUUGAGUUUUGUGUGGAUGAAGCUUUUGAGAUUUAGGAAAACCGUGAUAUGAGAGGAAUUAAGGAGACACAAAAGCUCAAGCUUGGGGAUGCCCAAGGCAUCCCAAGAUAAUAUUUCAAGAAGUCUCAAGCAUCUAAGCUUGGCGAUGCCCCGGUAGGCAUCCCACCUUUUCUCUUCAACAAUAAUCGGUUAGUAUCGGUUGAGCCUAAGUUUUUGCUUCUUCACAUGAGUUGUGCUAUUCUUAGAACGUCAUUUUAUUUUUGUUUUGCUUGUUGUUUUAAUAGAAUACUUAGAUCUGUAAGUUUUAAAUAAGAGAGAGUCCAGACAUAGCUAUCUAUUUACUUAACUACUCAUUUGAUCUUCACUUAUAUCUUUUUGGAGUAGCUUGUCAUUUACUCUUGUGCUUCACUUAUAUCCUAUAAGUAAAUUGUUGAAUGAACUGAAUAUCAUGAAGUUGAAAUUAUAUCAUGCCUAGUGGUAGCUUAACAUUGGGUUUAGAAAGUGAAAGCUUUUGAGGCUUGACAAUCACAAUAUUGGUCAUACAAGCAAUUCCACGAAUAAUUAGUAUAAGGAAGAGAACUUUCACAUGCAAAUACAUUAUCAUGGAAAUAUUUUGUGAUUGUGAGCCCCCAUCAAAAUAUUAUAUGCCAAAAUUGUUGACGUUGAACAAGGAAGACAAUGUAAUGAUUUAUGUUUGCUCAUAUUCACAUAGAAGUUAUAUUGUCAUAUAUCCUUCAACAUGUGGUGCUUGCCCCCAUCUUUGCUAGCCAAAAAUUCUGCACCAAGUAGAGAUACUACUUGUGCAUCCAAAAACCCUUAAACCCAAAUCUUAUUUUCAAGAGUCCACCAUACCUACCUAAGGAUUGAGUCAGAUCCUUCAAUUAAGUUGUCAUCGAUGCAUUGAGGCAAUAAAAAUUGCUUCUAAAAGUGAGAUCAUUUAGUGUAAGAGAAAAUUGAGCGUUGUACGAACUUGGAUGGCAAAGAAUAGAAUCGACAGACUGCAUAAUAAAGGUUGCCAUCUUAAGGGGCAAUACAAUGUGACGUUCUUUUGCACUAAGGGAUUGAGCAUACAAACAAAUAAGCGCAUGGCAACCUCUGCUUCCCUCUGUGAAGGGCCUAUCUUUUACUUCUAUGUAUUUACUUUUAUGCAAGAGUCAAAGUUUUUCUCUCUAUUCCUUUUUUAUUUUCUCUUUUGGCAAGCAUCAUGUGGUGAGGACAGAUCUAGGCACAUAUGUCCAGUUGAAUAUGGGUAGCAUGAGUUAUUAUUGUUGACAUCACCCUUGAGGUGAAUACGUUGGGAGGCGAAACUAUAAGCCCCUAUCUUUUGUAGCGACCCGACCUCAGUCGGUCAAGUCUCUGUGCUUCCGUAUCAUCCCUAGAUCGGUAAUGCUGACACACACAGUACUCGAAUGAUUUAUAACAGAGUAGCAAUCACACACUUAUUACAUCAAAUGUCUCAAAAGAGAACUUAUUACAAUAAAUAUGGCAUAAGGCCAUCUAAUACGAUAACAUCGGAAGGCUUGGAAUAUAAAGUGAGUCCAUCAACUCCAACGGCAUAGCUGAGCUGCACGGCAAUGACCUAACGAACCUUACUCCUCGUCUGAAAAGUCUGCAACAAAUACGUUACAGCCCGAAAACGGGUCAGCACAUGGAAUAUGCUGGCAAUAUAACACGGUAGAGCAAGAACAGAAUAAAUGCUAUCACUACAUGCAUAUUUGGCUGGUGGAAAGCUCCAUGGUUAUAGUUUUGCGAAAAGCCAAUUUUCCCUACAACAAAGGAAUAGAUUUUAUUUAACUAUCAUGGUAGUUGAAACAUCAUUGAGAAGGUUCCUCCAACUCAAUCCCAAUUAAAAGUAAUUAUCAACCCAACAAUAUUAAAUUAAAGUGAUGAGAUACUUAGGAUAAUCCAAGUACUAGAUACUCAAGAUGUCCAUAACCGGGGACACGGCUAAUCAUGAUUAGAUUGUACACUCUGCAGAGGUUUGCGCACUUUUCCCCACAAGACUCGAUCUCCUCCGUUGGAUUUCUCGCACUACAUGGUGUUUGAGAAACGGAUGACCGAGACACAGUCUUUCAGAAGCAUUAACUCUAACCCCGGGUGGACAGUACCAACCUACAUCCCUCUAUAUCUGCUAGCCUACCAAUGGAAGAGGUCAUGCAACUUACUCAACUAUGCUAGAGCCCAUAAUAGCUUGUGGCUGCACACGGAAGUUUCUAGCACGAAAUAUCUCAGUUCCCUUUGAGCCUGGGUGGCGGAUCUUAGGAUGAUCACACGGGUACUCCGGGAUAUCCUAGGACAACACUGGAUUCUCCAGGUUCCCGACAAGCAAUCCACCCAGAUGUGUAUUAAAGUUGCCACCUUAAGUUGAACCAUUAAUUAACAAACUCACAUCUGUCAUGGAUUCACUCACCCAAACCACGUCUACGAGCAUAGCAUAGCAAUAUAAGCAUUACGUAGAAGUAACUCCCAAGGGUUUUAUAAUAACAGGGCAAUAGGUUCUACCUCGUCAACUACUUCCCAAUACCCACAAGUUAAUCACAUCCUAUUCAUGUAGUGUUUGAGGAUUGGAGCUAAUGCACAAAAACUGGGUAUGAAAAGACAAUGAUCAAUGUGUUACUUGCCUUGUUGAUGAUCCGCAAAACGUAGGGACUCGUAGUAGCACGCUUCGCACUCCAGGAAUUCUAUCGCAAACAAACAAUAGCAUACAUAAGCAAUAAAUCAUAGAUGAAUGGGCAAAACUCAAAUAAGAAGAAUUGACCAGAAAGUUCAACUUAAGAACUCCGGUUUGCAAAAAGAAUCAAAUCAAACGGAGCAACGAAACUCAAACUACGAAAGAAACAAGAUCCGAUUACUAAUCUGGACUAAAGUCAAAUUUUACAGUACCAAAAUCUUGUUCAAGUUGAUUAAACAGAAAGAGGGUUCCGAGACAAAGAUCUAGGCGCUUGAAUCGCCUGAUUCCGAUAAACAAGCGAAAAGAUAAACUAAAACGAAAAUCGGAUCAGAAAUCGCGAUCGAAAAUAAUCGAGAAAAACCCGAGAAAAAUAAAAAAUGACGAACAGGCUAACGAACGAACGUUCGUUGUCUGUGACUAACGGGCGAAAACUGUUCGUUAAAACGAAUGUACGGACGAACGUCCACAAAAUAAACUAAACCGAGAAAACCGGCGAACCGAUCUAAAAAAACGAACUAGGGUUUUUUUAAUAAAACCGACAGUUUUUACCAAAACCGAAAAAAACCGAGCGGCUCCGGAUCGGAUCGGCGGCGGCGGCUCCGGCGGCGAGGCGGCGGCUCCGGCGGCGCGAGGUGGGGCUGCGGGGUGGCGGCGGCGGCGCAAGGCGAGGCGAGGCGCGGGAGAUUCCGCCGAAAAUAAAUCCUAGAAAAAUAAAUAAAAAUUUAAAAAUGCCAAAACAAUUCACCAUCUAAAUAAAAUAUUUAGAACAAGAUGAACAUUUUCUUGGCCCUAAAAUGCAAUUUUGAAAACAUGCAAUUUUUCUAAUGCAAAUAAAAUAGCAAUAAAAUCCGAAUAAAAUCAAAUAUUUGAUUUUAAUAUUUUCCUCCAAUAUUUCAUUUAUUUUGAAGAAGUCAUAUUAUCUUCGCUCAUAUAUUUUAAUAUGAAAUAUUUUUCGGAGAGAAAUAAUUAAAACAAAUAAUCCUCGUUUCAAUAUUUGAUAAAACUCAAAUAUGAAAACAGUGAAAUCCCCAACUCUCUCCGAGGGUCCUUGAGUUGCUUAGAAUUUCGACGAUCGCGAAACGAAAUGCAACAAAAAUAUGAUAUGCAUGAAUGAUCUAUGUAUAACAAUCCAAAUUGAAAAUUUGGGAUGUUACAAACCUACCCCCCUUAAGAUGAAUCUCGCCCUCGAGAUUCGGGUUGGCUAGAAAAUAGGUGUGGGUGGUCUUUGCGAAGAUCAUCCUCUCGUUCCCAGGUGGCUUCAUCCUCGGUAUGGUGGCUCCACUGAACUUUGCAAAACUGGAUAACCUUGUUGCGGGUGACUCGGCUGGCAAAUUCAAGAAUCUUGACCGGCUUCUCCUCAUAGGUCAGAUCACUGUCCAACUGAAUCGCUUCUAGAGGAACUAUAUCUCUUAGUGGUAUAUCGGCCAUCUCAGCAUGACACUUCUUCAACUGUGAAACAUGAAACACAUCAUGAACUCCUGACAGUCCUUCAGGUAUCUCAAACUUGUAGGCAACCUCUCCCAUACGUUCCAAUACACGAUACGGUCCUACAAAUCUCGGGGCUAACUUUCCCUUAACUCCGAAACGUUUCACUCCUCGCAGAGGUGACACUCGCAAAUAUGCUCUAUCUCCAAUUUCAUAGGUUACUUCCUUGCGUUUCGAAUCCGCAUAACUCUUCUGCCUGGACUGAGCUACCUUCAGUCUAUCGCGAAUCAAUUUAACUUUCUCUUCAGACUCCUUGAUCAAAUCUGGUCCAAACAACUGUCGGCCUCCAACUUCAUCCCACAUCAACGGUGUUCUGCACCUUCGUCCAUACAGGGCUUCGAAUGGUACCAUCUUCAAACUGGCUUGAUACCUAUUGUUGUAUGAGAACUCCGCGUAGGGCAAAUUUUCAUCCCAACUAGAUCCAUAAUCUAGUGCACAAGCUCUCAACAUAUCCUCCAGAAUCUGGUUGACUCUCUCGGUCUGUCCAUCUGUCUGCGGAUGGAAUGUUGUACUGAACUCUAGCCUUGUGCCCAAAGUCUGGUGCAACUGAUGCCAAAACUUUGAGGUAAACUGUGUUCCUCUAUCUGAUACGAUGGUCCUCGGAACUCCAUGCACACAUACGAUCCUGGUCAUGUAUAUCUUGGCCAACUUCGCACUUGUAUAGGUGGUUUUCACAGGGAUAAAGUGGGCUACUUUGGUCAAGCGAUCAACUACUACCCAUACAGAAUCAUAUCCUGAUUUGGUCCUGGGCAAUCCGGUGAUGAAAUCCAUGCCAAGUUUAUCCCACUUCCAUUCGGGUAUCAGCAUAGGUUGUAGCAAUCCUGCUGGCUUUUGAUGUUGUGCCUUCAGUCUCUGACAUACAUCACAUACGACUACAUACUCGGCAAUAUCCUUCUUCAUACCAGUCCACCAGAAACGUUCCUUCAAAUCCAAAUACAUCUUGGUGUUUCCGGGGUGUAUCGAGUAUGGUGAGUCAUGAGCCUCCUGAAGUAUUAACUUCCUGAUCUCUGUGUUAUUAGGCACAUAAACACGGUCCUCAAACCAUAAGGUGUCGUGCUCAUCUUCACGAAAACCUUUGGCCUUUCCUUUGCUCAUUCUCUCUUUUAUCUCGGCAAUCUCUUUGUCAUCCUUCUGAGCUUCUCGAAUUGUUCCUAACAAUGUAGACUGAACUUCCAUUGUUGCAACAAAACCUCUAGGAACAAUCUCCAAUCGAAGUUCCCUGAGAUCCUCUACUAACUCCUUUGGCAAUCCUGUGCUUACGAGGGUGUUAGCAUAACUCUUGCGACUCAAAGCGUCUGCUACGACAUUGGCCUUGCCUGGAUGAUAGUGAAGUUUCAUGUCAUAAUCCUUUAUAAGCUCCAACCAUCUCCUCUGCCUAAGGUUCAGCUCCUUCUGUGUGAAAAUGUACUUCAAACUCUUAUGAUCAGUGUACCCAUCACAAUGGUUUCCAAUAAGAUAAUGUCUCCAAGUCUUGAGUGCAUGCACUAUAGCUGCUAACUCCAAAUCAUGCGUGGCAUAAUUCAAUUCGUGCGGUUUUAGUUGUCGUGAGGCAUACGAAACAACUCUUCCGUCCUACAUAAGCACACUUCCAAGUCCUAGGCGAGAGGCGUCACAAUACACUUGGAAAUCCUUGCGUAUAUCCGGCAGAAUCAACACUGGGGCUGUAGUCAAACGUUUCUUUAACUCCUGAAUACUCGCCUCACAUUCUUCCGUCUAUUUAAAUUUGGUAUCCUUCUUCAAUAACUCCUUCAUUGGCUUCGCAAUCUUGAAAAAAUUCUCAAUGAAUCUCCGAUAGUAUCCUGCGAGUCCAAGAAAACUGCGGAUCUCGCUAACUGAAGUGGGUGCCAACCAUUUAGUGACUGACUGAACCUUGGUAGGGUCUACUGAUAUACCUUCUCCUGAUAUAACAUGUCCAAGGAAUCCAACUUCCUUCAACCGAAACUCACAUUUGCUGAACUUGGCAUACAACUAAUGUUCCCUGAGUUUUUCGAGAACUCAACGCAAAUGCUCUUUGUGCUCCUCUUCAUUCUUCGAGUAUACCAUUAUAUCAUCAAUGAACACCACAACAAACUUAUUGAAAUAUUCCAUGAACACCUUGUUCAUCAUGCUCAUGAAGUAAGCAGGGGCGUUAGUCAGUCCAAAUGACAUGACCGUAUAUUCAUACAACCCAUACCGUGUGGUGAAUGUUGUCUUUGGUAUAUCCUUCUCUCAAAUCUUCAGCUGAUGAUACCUGAUCGCAGAUCGAUCUUCGAAAACACUUUAGCUCCUUGCAGCUGGUCAAACAAAUCAUUGAUCAUCGGCAGUGGGUAUUUUUUCUUGAUCGUCACCUCAUUCAACGCCCGAUAAUCAACAACCAUUCUCAAGGAUCCAUCCUUCUUCUUAACCAAGAGCACUGGGGCUCCCCACGGUGAUGAACUUCGUCGAAUGUAACCUUUCUCCAAUAACUCCUUGAUCUGCUUCUUAAUCUCCUCCAGAUCAUUUGCGGGCAUCUGGUACGGUCGCUUCGAUAUAGCACUACAAAAAAAAUACACUUCCGUGAUGAUACGUGUUUGUCACAGUAGGUCGCAUUUUCUGUCAUGCAUGUACAUCCAUGACGAUUUUAUGACAGAAUCAAGAUAGUCAUACCUGUGCUGUCGUAGAAGUGUUCCAUGACAUUACCAAAAUUAUCAUCACGGAAGUGUCCACUUCCAUGACGAUAAAUCCCGCGUCACAGAAGUGCUUUCGUCAAGGGUGGCCGACGCGUGGCAUCCACCGUAACGGAACGCCGUUAAGCUAUCGGGUAGGGUUUUGGAUCUGAUAACCCGUUAACAGCCCCGACCAAUGGGGAUUUUCCACGUGUAAAAUCAUCAUUGGCUGGAGGAAAGACGUGUCGGCUCAUCGUUGGGACAGAUGUCAUCCACUCAUUGGACAGAAGGCGCCUAUGAUACGUCGACACGUGGCACGGCCCAACAGAGGCCCAUUCCUGUGAAAAGGCCGGCCCGUUUGACUUGGUCAAAAGGUGGCGGGCCAGCCCAUGUAAAGCCUGUUAACGGCAUGUUCGCAUAUAGCCCAUUUACAGCCCGCUAACCCAAGGCCCGUUACGCCCUAUCCGAAUUAGGCCCAGUAGCGUCAUCUGGGCCACCCAAUAUGAUUCUAGCCCAUUUUCACUUCUGGCCCAUGUAUGGCCCAUGACGUCUUUCGGCCCAUAUGAGGCCCUAUCUAACUCUUGGUCUAUUAACGGCCCGUGGUGAAACUGGCCCGUAAUGAACAGUGUAUCACUUUACACCCAUUAACUGCCCGUGGUGAAACUGGCCCGUAAUGAACAGUGUAUCACUUUAUACCCAUUAACGGCCCGUUAUUCCGUUGGGCCAUUUCCAGCCCAUGUUAUCUUUCGGGCUUCUCAGAGCCCAUUUAUUCUUGGUCUCAUUUCCAGCAUUCGUUUACUUACGGCCCGUUACUGUCAUUUUCUGCUUGUGGGCCAAAUUCAGCCCGUGGUUACAGUCGGCCCGUUUGUGGUCCGUUAAUACGUUGGGCCGUUUUCAUAGCGUCAUCAAAUACGGCCUAUUAAUGAUGGCCCGUUAUGGUCGGCCCAUGAACGGACGAUUCCAACUCUAGCCCGUUUAUGGCCAUAAUGCGGCCUGUUAUUGGCCCAUGUUUGGCCAAUCGAUCAUACUGCCCGUAUAAGGCCCAUUGAUGAUACGGCCCGUAGAAGGCCCAUUGUUUCUACGUCCCGUAGAAGGCCCACUGUUUCUACGGCCAGUAGAAGGCCCACUGUUUCUACGGCCCGUAGGAGGCCCAGUGUCACUAUAGUAAAUAUUAGCCCAUGGUUAUUGUGGCCUAGUUUUAAAAAAUAGGUUAUUGCAGCCACUAGCAAACCGCGGAAAAAGAACUGCAACGACUACAAGCAAACAAAUAGACAAGACAACAAGGAAAUAAAUAAGCAAGCAACUUACGCUAGGCUAUCACGGCUAUCACACAUAUUACAUCCACUGGGCAUCAAAGUUCGCCACCAGUGCAAAUAAACGCGCCGACAAAAGAAUAUACAAAAUUGAGAGCACUUCAGAAGGCACUAGGCCUGGCCACGUCGGCCCCCCCCCCCAAACAGCUGAAGAAGCUGAGUAGACCUCAGUUGUGUCAACGAUUGAUGCAUCAACACUGGAUUUAAGGCAUGAUGGUGCGCACAGCAGUCCUCUGACAUCUUCAUUGCAUCUUUGACUUCAAGUCGGAGCUGAGCUGAAGCAAGCCUUUCCGCUUUAAGUUGAGACUGAAGAAGUCGAACUGAUUGAGGCAGCGACUGCACAGAGGUUGUCUCACACCUGCUGGUGAGUAGCUUCAACUCACUGUCUUCAUCAAGACAGGACCUUGGGGUCAUCUCGCUGUCCUCAAGAUGGUUUGGCUCACUAUCUUCCCUAAAGUUCUGCCUGGCGUAAGAGAUACGAGUCUGAAAGAGAAACAAGGAUACACGUAACAGGUUUCACAAUUAUAUAAGCAAAUAAAUGGAUCUGUUCUGCAUAAGGAACAUGUUUUUACAACUACAAUUUGAAACUGGUAGUUGUUGCAAACAUCCAAUCAGAUGUAAACAACAAAGCAAACAGCAGUGGAGGAAAUGCUGCCUAUCCAAAUCUAUACUAGAACAAAGUUUGAAGGCUUGAGAAGGAUGAACAUACAUUACAUGUUAACACGGGUUGGACAAAGCCCUUCUCCAUGUUGAUGGAAGGAUAAUUCAAUAAAUUCCCCAAAGAAAAUUCUUUAUAAGCGUUGCCAUUAUUCUACAUUUUGCAAAGAGUAAAUAUAGAUCAAAUAAUAUUGGAAGAAACAGAGGAUAAUGAAGCUCAGGUGCAGACUGAUGAUACAUAAUCAAAUAGCAAUUAAUUAAGUACAGCGUUACAAGGCAAAAGGGAGAGAGGUACUGACAAGAGCAAUGCAGAGCCCAUUAUUGUUUUGAGAUCGUAUGAUCCUUUGAGCAAGGAGAUUCAUCUGAAAUUAGUUUUCAUACAAGAGAGAAGGUAAGGCACGAGCAGAAAUUUAGGAGUUCAAAUUUUGAAUUGAUAUCAUAGACAGUACGUGACGCUGGGCUCCCAGCAGUUCUAAUAGGGGUUUGGCCACUGGAGUAGGGGUAAAGUGUGGUAUAGUUGGGCCUGUGUUUUCUGUGGCUGCUGAUCUAUCUGAUUUAACAGGUAUCACUACCUUUUCCAAAUACCUAGUUUGUACUCCUUGAGGAUCUGCACUCACCCUCUUCCUUUUGGACAUCUAUUACGAAAGAACAACAUUUGACUAGAAAACAUAGUGUGACGACACAUGGAAUAGGUACAGAAAAUGGAUAGGUAUGGCAUAUACUCAUAUAUGAUGCUUAAACUAAGCAGAUGGUGUAACAAAGUAGAACUAAUGCAAGAGGUCAGAUGCAAAAUAUGUGCGACCAAUACAACUUUGCAAAGUUAGAGCAAGCACCUUGAUGGGUGAAUAAGAUAGGCCAUCCUCCACCAUGCCAAGUUUGUUAGCCAGUGGAUCGUUCCGCAAUAUUCCUCUCGUGCGCCCAUUCUCAUAUUCAUUUUGAUAAUGUUCAAUAUCUGACAUGCAUGAAAACAUAAAAACAAGUGAGAUUUUCUUUGUAAUGCACAAGUGAUUCUAAUCCAAUACUGCCUCCCUGUAAACCUCUUUGUGCUAUCUCUGCAAUUCUUUUAAAAGAUGCCACUGUAAUUUGUUGUGUUCAUUAAUAUAAUGUGGCCUACUACUCAAAAUAUGAGAGCUCCAGAAGUGAUGACACUUCGCAGAUGAUAGCUUCAACAUAUAGUAAAGAAGAACAAGUCGACCUGACCUGACAGAUUCAAAAUAUACUAAGGGAGAACAACUCGACCUGACCAGUCGACCGCAAGAGAAGAGUAUCAUCUUAAAGAAGAGCAGAAGAGCAAGCAGAUUGAAGAUAUUACAAGUCUUUCAAUACAAUGUCGGUUGGCCACCCAUGAUGAACCAGAGUGCACAGAGAAAUACUAUUCUUUCAGGUCUCUCCAUAUGUGGCUCACAUGCAUUUUGAAACUAAAGUAGGAACAUUUAGCUAACCAAUUAAACAUCUCUCAGUUUUACUAUAUCAGCAAUAUCAUCAGAUAUGAAUUUGUACAACUUAGCUUGUUUAGCUCGAUGGGUGGAGCAGUGCUAUUACGACACGAACCACGUAGGCUGAUUGUGGUCAUCAUAAAAUGGGGAAAACAUAAGCAUGAUGAGUACAGUGUUGACCGUGGCAGUGGGAUAGCAGAUCUGAAGCUGCAAACCGCGCAAAGGGUAGUUAGCAACCGAUGUUUGCUUUGAAAUAACAACUAAGAUUUGGUAUGGACAAGAAAGUAUGGUCAACAAGUGACAAAGAAAUGCAAUUAUGCUGUCUCUCUAUAUGUCGCGACAUGCAUUUGGAAACUCAAGUGGGACCUUUAGCUAACCAAUUAAAAGUGUCGGUUAACUAAUAUCAGUAUCAUAUCACAAUCAUAUUUGAACAACUAAGCUUUCGAAUUCUGAGUGUUGUGUUGUUUAGCUUGAAGGGUGGAGUAAUGCUAGUAUGACAUAAAGCACCUACGCAGAUCAUAGUAGAGUAGAUAAAAGGGGAAAACCCUAAGCAUCAAGAGAAAAAUCAGGAAAGUGGAACUAGCUGGACCAGUGGGUGGCGCACAUGCUUUUCGAAACGAAUAUAGGAACAUUAGGUGACCAAUUAAACGUUCUCUGUUUUAGUGAUAUGAGCAUCAUAUCAGAUUCGUAUUUCAACACGUAAGCUUUGGGUUGAGGUCUUGAGGAGCAGUGCUAGCACGACACGAAGCACCUACGAUGAUGGUAGUGAAUAUAAAGGGGGGAAACCAUAAGCUUUACGAGUAGAGUGUCCGUGCCAUGGCGGAUCUGAAGGUGCAAACCGGACAAAGCUACUUCGCAACCAAUGUUAGCUUUCAACUAGCAACAAGAAAAGUACAGUAAACAAAUUACGAUCUAUUUUUGGGAGAGAUCAAUAAAUUAAGCACAUAUGGAAGAGUACCACCUCUCUUCCGACGCCGUGUAGGCCUAUGCUGAUACGUUGAGGGUGCUGCGGGUGCGAUGGCUGUCGGUGGCGGGGAAGAAGACUUUAGACGGCAGACGGCCGGGUCGGGGGAUAUAUCCUGUUGCCGUGGACGAGGCGGUCGUAGGAGCGGCAACGGCAAGGUGGACAACGGCGCCGAUGAAGCGAGAGGAGGCGAUAAAAGGAUCCUGGUCCAGCGCCGUGGAUGAGAGAUGUCCAUCUCUUGUAGUGGACGACAGGGUAGGGGUAGCGGCUUCGGCAAGGUGGAGGAUGGGGUGCCGGACGGAGGAGGCUGGCCGCAGUGCGGAGGUUGUCAUGCCGCCGACGGUGUAUGAAUGGGGAAAUGGAGGGGAGGGGGAUCUCAAACUUUGGGACGCGCUUCUCUAAAAUGGGGGAAAGUUACGAACUUAUCCCCCGUUUAAAAUUUCGGACAUCGCGUCGGUUGGGGAUAGGACGAUAAUCUCGCAUCUCCCAAAUAUUUGCCGGUAACUAUUUCACGCGAGGAGAGGGUGUUUUGCCGGCCACGGUUGGCGCCCACGGUGUAUUAACGGGCCUGACAGGUAGGGCGGUUGUGUCACGUCUGAUGGAAGUUACACAUCUGCCCCUAUUUAAAAUAUUAGCCUACAUCGAUUUCGGACAAGGAGAGUUUGUUUUGCCGCCCACCGUGUAUGAAUGGGGAAAUGGAGGAAGAGACACAUGUCUUUCGGACGAGCUUGAAUCAAAUGUGUUUUGCCGCCCACGUUUGGCGCCCACCGUGUCUGAAUGGGCUCCGAGGCCGUCGUGUCACGUCUGAUUGAAGUUACUAGUCUACCCCUAUCGACAGCAGUGUAAAUCCGGUCGAUAAGGAUGUCAAGUGUCAGGGGUAGAUAGUAAUUUCCAUCUCGCAAACACUUGCUUCGGGCAGCCCACAAAUUAUAGUGGGUGUUUAGCCGCUUCGUUCAAAACUUGGGAGAAUUAGCAUUCACGUUUGCCCUGGGACCUGGCAAACUAAAUUCAAAUCCAAUUUGUAUUCGAUUACGAAUAUCCACAGAUAAUUAUAUGUUUUGUUAUUUAUUUCUUCAAAACCACAACAAAGAUUUAUUCCACCUUUAUAUAUGGUUAUGAUUUAGAAAUGCCGUGAUUUCGAAUUCAGUAGGUUGGAUACACUCUGAAUCAAACAGUUAUUUCAUCCAAUACAAUAUGCCCAUACGAAAAACAGUUCACCUUAUGUAAAUCAUACAAGUACUGAGGAUUACCUCGCCUAAAAAAUUCGGAUCAUUACAACACAUGGACAACAUAGGGGGUCUUGCAACAUAAUCCAUUCAGAGACAUGACACAACAUGCAAGUACAAUAAUCUAAUGAUAACUGGUAUCUAAAGAAGAACCGGGAUUACCUUGGGCUUCAGAUAGCAGAAACAGCAGGACCUCCUCCAUCUUCAAAUGCAACAUUCUUACUUCCUCCAAUUCUUGGGUUGCUUGCAUAAUGCGUGCCGCUAAUUCCGUAAUUUCCAGCCUCAAGAUAAAGAUGACCUCAUUCAUGGCAGCCACACCAUCUCUUUCUGCCUCUAGUAGAGCCUCAAGCACUAUAAUAUCUGUGCUCAGACUGCUCUCUGGCGGUGUUGCCUCUGAACUGCUACCAUCUGGUAACAUGGAUGGCGCACUGCUUCCAAAAAAUAGAUUCUGGGGUUGUACAUUGUGUCCUAGUGUGAACGGCAUCCUGAAAGGUUUCUGCUGGACAUCAGUAAGAGAUAGUUAUCGUAUGAUCCAGGCAGUAAGCUUACAUGGUAAACGACGGACGAAUUAUUGCCGAGCAUGGCAAACUAUAUUUAAAUGGUUCGAAGCAGCAUCAGCCGAAAAGAAAUUAAAAUGGUAAGAUGAAACAAGGGAUGUAAGUGGCAAAUAAACGACAUCCGCCAGUCCCAUCUAGUUAGUUUUUGCUACCUCCCUAGUUCAUUUUCCUCAAAAAACAAAAAACUCUUUUGAACUAUCAUACCACUAGUGGACUUUAAUCGGGAUUAAACGGGACCCAGUUGACAUCCCUAGUUGAAAGGGAGUGUACAACCGCUAUAUUUAAGUUGCCAAGGCAUCUAAGCAGUUGAAAUAAUCUUAGAAAGCACUUAAUAGUGUGGCCUCAUAUAAACUACGAAGAAAAUCUUAAUAGUGCAUGCAUUUCUUUACGAUAGUACAGCAGGCACUGCUGACAUAUUGGCCAACUCAGGUAUAGCGUAACAACAAAUAAGCAUUCGAAUCAAGCACUACAGCAAAGCAGACAACUGAACUAUUUGUAAUUCGGUAGGAUUACACGUUGAGGGCACAAUCCAAGAAAGCAGCCCACUCGCAUUACAUUUCACAUGUACUAAAACACACUGGCUUACCAUAUGUUGCUGUGAAGCCUAGCUGCUGUUGCAAUGUUCUUUGAAGAUAUCGCCAGCAUCCCGUGGUUGCAAAUCUAGUUGUUGUAGUUUAUUCUGCACCAUCUAUUUAGGUAAAAUUAAUUUUAAUCGCAUGCACUGGUCCGAAUUGAUCAUCAAUGGUUCAUCUAAACUAAUGAAAGAAGGGUUUGUGCAUACACGACAAUAUAUCUGCUUCCAUCUAUUUUAUGCUUGUUCGAGGUGCCAGCCCCAAAAGAACAAAUAUUUUGCUUGAUGGGGUUGGCAACUCCAUAAUUAAUAGAAGCAUCAAAUUAGUCAUGCAACUUGGGAAGAUCAAGAACACACAAACAAGUAAUGAACAGAGGCUCGGAGCAGUGAUGUAAUAGUUAGCAUCAGAAAAUGUAGGGUAAAACGAACAAAAAGCAGCGGAACCACAUGCUAGUUUGCUGCUGUGUAAUUAAGCAUAGAGAACAUUAAGCAGUCUGAUGGAACCAACAGGUGGCAUCAGAACAAAACUAAAGCAUAUUAACUAUAUGUGCACUGGUAUGUAAUUUAGCACAUGUAACAUGUUCACUGCCAGAAGUAUGGCCCUAUAGGUGCAAGCAGAAGAAUGCGUCUCAUGAAAAACUGAAUGAUGCCCUGAAGAAAUUCAAAGGUGCGGUGCUUAUGCUAGGAAAGUGAACGUAGGCGCCGGCUGUUGGAUAAUAGUACCUGAUUCUCGGCAGUGUACGGGUAUCGUUGUCAUACUUGAUAGCUAAGGAUCGUCGAUGGUGCUCGUGUUGCGGUUGAGUUUGGGCCGGCUGUCGCCGUCGCUGAAGCGGCUCCGGUGCUACGGUUGCGGCGCCUGCCGACAUACAAGAAAGCUCAUCUGUGGUAAGUGAACAGUUGCACGAUAAAGAGAAAAACCGAAGGAGUACAAAUCAAAAUAACCUGAUGAGGCUGCAGCGUCGGUAAAGCAGGGCCGGUGGAGUUGAAUAUGGCGUCCGUGGAGCGGGUCCGGUGCAGUGGACGAAGGCUUCAGCGGGUGCGUUGUACAGUGCUUUCGGUGAGGCGGAUCUGUUGCGGCAGACGAGGGCUUGUAUGAAGGGCCAGCGAAGGGGCUGACGAGGGAGUCAGUGAAGGGCCUACGCUGUGGUGGACGAGGGCGCCGGUUAAGCCGAUCCGGUGCGGUGGACCAUGAUGGCGGUCAAGGAUAUCUAGGGCGGUGGACAAGCCAGUCGCUGAAGCGGCUACGGUGAAGUGGUGAGUUGGCAGUUGGGGGUUCCAAGGUGCGGAAGGUAGAUCCGGCGGGGUGUGAGGUCCACAGCUGCGGCGGAGGACUAGAUUCGGCGGCUUGCCGUGGUUGGGGGGUCGGGGAGGGGCUCUGGGAAGAAUGUUGGGGGCAAAGAGGGGAAAACAAUGGAGUUACCAAAGCAGCCCUUUUCCGUUCAUGUGGCAAGGGUAAAACAGGAAUAUCGCAGGGCUAAACUUUCGGGCGCGUGAUAUUUCGAUGUGAGCGGGAAGUUUGAAAGCUUUUGGCGCCUAAAAUUAUAAGUAUUCUGCUCUCGUACGGCCGACUAUGAUAUCAUGGCUGACAAUUUGUUUGUUUUGCACGCAAAAAAAUGUGCAAGUUUUGAAAAUCAAUGUCUCCAACUCGAAACCUAGAUUGUCCAUUCAAUUCAAAUAUGGAUCAUUGAGCUACUACAAGCAAAUACCAUCAUUCGGUCCAAUUCAAAUGAAAUUCCAAAUGUGUAUAUCCUAAAUAUGAUGACAAAAGCAAAAUUGUGUAUGUGUAUGAAUAAAGUGGAUGAUUAUAAAGCUUGAACAUGCCCGUGUGUGUAUAUCUCUAGGUUUGAUAUAUGAAUUUGAAAUCACGAAAUCCCGGCUUAAAAAAUGUACCUCCGUUUAAAUGAAUUACAAAAGCUAAUGAUGGAGUCGAAUUCCAAAAUUCCAAUCUUAGGUUUGUAAUUCUGGUACAUCAAGGUAUAUCACGCAUGUUCAAAAGUAUCGUUAUCUCAUAGUACAAAUNNNNNNNNNNNNNNNNNNNNNNNNNNNNNNNNNNNNNNNNNNNNNNNNNNNNNNNNNNNNNNNNNNNNNNNNNNNNNNNNNNNNNNNNNNNNNNNNNNNNNNNNNNNNNNNNNNNNNNNNNNNNNNNNNNNNNNNNNNNNNNNNNNNNNNNNNNNNNNNNNNNNNNNNNNNNNNNNNNNNNNNNNNNNNNNNNNNNNNNNNNNNNNNNNNNNNNNNNNNNNNNNNNNNNNNNNNNNNNNNNNNNNNNNNNNNNNNNNNNNNNNNNNNNNNNNNNNNNNNNNNNNNNNNNNNNNNNNNNNNNNNNNNNNNNNNNNNNNNNNNNNNNNNNNNNNNNNNNNNNNNNNNNNNNNNAGAGAAGUCGUUCUCUCCCCCAAACACCAACACACGAGCACAUUAACACCCCUCUCUCUUGUAAAGUCCGGAUCCCAACAUAGGUCUCUAUCACUUUGUCUCUCGGGCAUGCACACAUCUCUUACCUCACUCUCUAGGUCUCCCGCUAUCUCUCUUACCCAAGCAAACGCACUAUGUAGAGUGUAUAUUUCCCAUACACACAAAACGUCGCCCCCAAACGUCUAUCUCCCUAGUCAUUUGGUUCUCGCGCACUCACCUCACACACCACCCCCACUGCAAACAAGCACACUUUGUCUCCUUGUGCACCACUCUCCUCUUUCUAUCUCUCCCACAUGCGGACCCGCCCCAGCUCCUUCCCUGUAUACAUAUAUGUCGUGACUCUUUGCCUAGCUCCCUAAUGUAUAAUCGUUCUCGAUUUUGCACAUUGUUCUCUACACCAUCUAUUCUAGAUCUCUCAUGAAGUCCCUAUCACACACACGAUGACUCGCUUCCCUUGCGUCUCCGUUCAUAGGCCAAUUUCGGACAACAUCAACAUUGUCUCCCUAUCUAUACGCCAUUUAUGGACACAAACGACCCCUCUCGCCCCCUCUCUUCCUCUCUCUCUCUCUCUCUCUCUCUCUCUCUCUCUCUCCGUCGCUAGCUCUCUCUUUCUCUCGCUCUCACACCCCUCUCCCACACACACACUCGAUGUCUCUUCCAAAUAGUCUGCUCCCCCCGCCCGCACCCGUGCUAUCUCGCUACUACACAUGUCACACCAUUCCCCCCUUUCCUUAUACUAGGUUUACAUCAUCAGUGGUCUCUCUACUCCACGUACACUCUCUCCCUCUCACACACAAACGCGUGCACAAACACACACAGACACGCACAAACACCCAUUUAUCUGGAUCCUCAUCUCUCCUCAUGUCCGCAUGUGUAUCUCACACACUCACUCUCUAAUUAUGUAUAUGUGUCUCCACGUUACACAACACAAAGCCCCAUGUACAUGUCUCUCUCUAUCCUCCACACACAUAGACACAAAGAAUCUGUUAUCAUUACCUCAGUCUCUAACAUAUCACACACGCACACUGUCUCUCUCUCUCUCUCUCGCAAACACGCUCAACAAGGGUUUUCCCGUGAAUAACUUACCGUCUAUUCACCAACAGUCGUGGCAGUACGGCGAACACGAGACGUGAAAAAGAAUAAAUCUACACGUGCUUAGACCACCUAGUAUGACUACUAGGACUAGAGCAAGCCAAAAAGCGCGCCGCCGUCACCCCCUCCUUGUCGGCGACGGGAAAAUCUUUGUUUUACACAGUCGAGAAGUCAUUGUGCUAAGGCCCCACAUGCCGAGGCGUUGAAUAGAAUGUAGAUGCUAGUUUACGGAAGCAAAUAUCGAUAAUACGUUUGUAUCUCCAUACUUAUAUUUCUUCUCUUAUAAAAAACCGAGUUGGUGAUGAUGGUACGUGUGCCAUCUUGCAAUAUAGACCGUCCAAUCUAUAUCUGACGGAUGGAAACUAAACUAAAAGAUACCCGCACCCCUCUCCACAUUUGCAGACAAGGCCUUCCCUCGUUCAUCCUUAUCUCCAACAAACCUCAUUGUUGAGCAAUUAAGAAAGGAAGCCUCUGGAACAAACUGGCCUGGUGGCCGCUGCCAGCGUCGUCAAUCCCCAUGCCUCCGCUCAGUCCGACCACCAACCACCACCACACCCCACUCCUCUUCACCUUAUCUCAUAUUUCUCGAGAUAUCAUUAGUUUUUACACAUGGGAUUACUCCCGCAAGGGUCAAUCACAACAAGUGUUUUAUAAAAAAAUGCAUCUUGAUGUUCCGUGCAAUGCACGGAUCUUGCUAGUACUCCUACACAAGACUAAGUUGGUGAUGCUGGUGUGUCUGCCAUCCAUCGUUUCUGACCAUUAGAUCUACAUCUAACGAUUGUGAGGUAAGUUGUUGCCUUUUCUCACCAACAUCCCACUUGUCUACCAAUUUGCAGAAAAACCCAUAAUUAGUAUCUUAAAACCAACCACAUCCCUCCCUGGCCUCACCAAAACAGCCCAAGGAAUAUAUUCUAAUUGAAACAUAAUAUAUCUCUAGUGACAUAUGUAUAUCAAAAUUAGAGUGUUUUGUACCAAGUUUGUGACUAAGUAUUAUUCUAAUUAUGAUUCGUUGCAACGGACAUGAACAUUGCUAGUAUUUCCAACCAUACAUUUUUCCUAGUAUUCCAUAGUUUCGAGUUUUCCAUCAAGAUAUUAGUCACUCAUGGUUGAUAUUUACUUUCAAUCAUGUACACAUAUGCACUAUGUAACUAGCCUUGCUUAUUGGCUUCCAAAGCUUAACUUUCACUCCUACUUACAAUAUGUAGAGUAUUUAACAAAAAACUACCACUUUCGACCAGCCCUAGGAAGAAUCUAUUGUACAAAAAUAGCAAAAACAUACCCAAAAUUUCUUAAUCCACGCCAAAAACUACCUAGUACUCCUACCGAUUAGGUUCGUUUAAACCCAUUUAUGACAGGGUUGGCCUACACGUCCGUGCUGAGAGGCAGCUUAAACCAACACAUUUUGUUUGACCGUUGACACGAGGGACCCACAUCUGACCUUCCAUCAUGUUAUUCCCCCUCAAAUCAUUAUUUUUCCUGAACAUUACUUCAAACAGUACUGAUGCGUGUUCGUCGGUGGCGCCGGUGAUGAGCGAGUUGGCCGCCGCUCCGCCGGACAGGCCGGACGCCGCGCUGGCCUCCGCAUGGGUUGGCAGGCUGGCCCGAGUGUGAGUCACGAGCGAGCAAGCCGCCGCGCUGGCCUUCGCUCGGGCCAGAUGGCUGGCCUUAGCGCGACACGCACGAGCAAGCCGCCGCGCUGCCGUGCCAAUCUAGCUAGCAAACCUUGCAGACAAGCAGCUGGACGGAGCUAUCUUGGCUAGAUAGCGGCCGCGAGCGCCGGACGGAGCUGGCAUCCGGGCUGCCGCAACAUGGGCUCCGCACCGCCGACGGUUUUGACCUCGCCUUCUGCCGGCGGCGGUAGCUGCGUCCCGUGGCCGAGGAUGACUAGGUGGACGGGCCGGAGGGAGGAGGUCACUCGAGGAUUUUUGCUGGUAAGAGCAUGUACAAUGGUUGAUAAGGUAGUCUUAUCUUAAGUCUGCCACGUAUGCAAGUGGUAGUAGUUUCUUGGCAUUUUAGUGGUUUCUUGCAUUAUUAGAGCAAGUACAAUAGAGCUGAGUCAGCGGACUAUAAGAAAUAAACUAGUAUAUUUCUGCUUAGUUGGAGGAAAGAGAAGAGGAGAGAGAAGGUAAGCGGGCUCUUCGUGAAGAGCCAGCUCUAGCACGUGCUCCUAGGCACUUUGUGAGAAUGAGAAGUGGGCCACAUAAUAAAAAAGUAGUACACUCUUUUGAUCUAUUAUUGUACAUGUUGGCUAUAAGAUGGGCUGUAGAUGACAUGGCACUGGCUUAUAGCCAGCAGCUGGCUAUACUAUUAACCAUUAGGGGUUUCUUGUAAGGAACAAUGUACGUACUACUAGCGACAAAAUGCGAUUCUAGGUUGCGCUGUACUCCAACGAGUACUACUAAUGGUCGCGGGAGUGUAUACCUCGUUUUGUGGGUUCGAUCCCGGCCGAACGCACGGCGGCCUUUUUUUUAAAUAGUACUACUACACUUCGCUGUGAGCCGAUAUUUUAUACGGGUAGUUUGAGUUUUGAAGUCAAACGGGCGUGCAGCCCCACAAUCUCGGUGCACUGGACAGCCUAGCCACGUGAACGGGUUUUCCCUCCCAACAUCCCGUGGCUCGCGUGCUCGCCCUAGCCGCAUCUCGCUUGCAGCUUCCAGCUAGUAGCAUAUUUAAACUAGCGCCUCCCAAUUAAGCCCGAGGAGCCGGAAAAGCCUGGCGGGGCAUUGGGAACUGUGCAAUAUGGCUCUGUACGUAAAGUGCUCUACUACUAAUCUGUAGCUUGUGGCGUUGCACGCAUGGACUUCACUCCAUUAUCGGCUCUACUAUAAAAGAAAUUCCUCUUGACGUGUUUUUUUUGAAACGAAGGCAAAAGCUUUGCUUCAUCUCAUUCAUAAAGAAGGAACUACUAACAAAGUUCGACAAGAUCCAUUACACCUCCACAAAUGGAAGCGAAAAGCCUAGUCUCGCUGUAUCAAAUAACUCAAAUGUUCUGCCUCCGCAGUAACCGUCGCUGAUAAACAGGCUGCUAGUGUGUGCGUGAGAGGAGCGGCUGAGUAGGCCAGCUACAUGAGAGGAGCGGCUGAAUAGAUCACCGAGAGUACCCACUAGGGCACUACGCAGGUGUACUUCCCCUGCAUUGAUAGUACAGCGAUGGUUCUAGAGAACAGUAGUACCCUCCACUUCCAACUGUAGCUCCUUGGCCCUGAGAUUCAAGAGUUCAAAACUGGUGCACUAUACUAGACUAGACUAGAAGUACAGUACAUCGCACUACUAGUUGAGAAAAGUAGUACGAGUACUGCUACAGUACGAGUACAUACUCCUCCGUCACAUAAUGUAAGACGUUUUUUGACACUAGUUGGCGUGUACAAAAAAUGGCAAAAACAUACCCAAAAAUUCUUAAUCCACGCCAAAAACUACUACCUAGUGCCAAAAAUUUCUUACUAGUGCUAUUAUUUACAGUAUAAUGCAAUCCCAUAACGUUCCAUAAUGCUAGUACUAGUAGUAAAUAAUAGCCUCACCCCUUCGCUGAGGAACGAUCUACAGUUGGAAGGGACGAGGCCCUACGGUUACUACGCUCUUAUCUCCUCCUCGCCAGUCCCCCUCCCCCCGAAGAGAAGGCAGUUCAUCGCUGCACCCAUGGAUUCGCCAGGCGGUUCUCCUCCUCGUCGGGGCUGGGAGACCUUGGACGACGAUCCUCUGGGAGAAAUCGCACGCCGCUCCGACGUCCUCACCGCCGCAAGACUCGGUGCUUCCUGCACCAACUUUUUCAAGACGCAGCUUAAACAGGCUUGGGAAAAGGCCAUGCUUGUUGGUCUUCCAUGCGUCCUCGAGGAGAAGGUUCUUCUAUGGGACAAUCCUUCGAACAGUCCACCACUCCCUGGCCAUGGUUGCACAUUGACUCCGCUAGAGUUGCCGACGUUGAGAGGUAGUCGGAUUUUGUCCGAUGAGCAGGUCAGUAAUGGAGUUUGAUCAUGUAGUACUUAGUUAUUCCAUUUCCAUCCCGUAAUUUCUCCGCUGCCCACCGUCUUAUAUAUAGGUCUGGGUCGGUGCCAAUGAAGAUUGGCUUGCAUACCUCCGGCCGGAUACCACCAUCAUUUUGCACAACAUCCACAGCAGUGCGGCCGUUCCGGUAGACCCCUUCUCCACCAUUGGGAUCGGCCUUCCGGACUGGCUGGGCUUGAAUACGUAUGAUGAUGCCUACAUGAGAUUGAAGAAGAUAGCAAUUGCGGACCCGCCGACAAAGCGACGCGGCUACGACGAUUACUAUCUCAUCGCGGUGUUCGACAUAAGGAUUGCCAUCAAUGCAAGAGGCAGUAACGGCAGAGGCUGGCGCAUGUUGGCGGCGGCAGAUUUGUACCCCUACAUGUUCGAAGACGCCGUGCGCCAUCUAGGCCGCAUCUUCGCGGUGACAAGCCAGGGGACUUGUUUCAUCUGGUUGCCAUCCUACGGUACGGGAGAUUACAAACGGAAUGCACAAACCAUCAUUUGCAUCCCUAACGGUACUCCAUUAUUUUGCAGGGACCAGUCAUCCCCCGAUCAAAAUAAGAUCGCCGAUCCUGGAUGUGCAUUUGCAUCUGCGAUUCGGUCUAACCUGGAACCUUGUAGCUGACUUUGGCAUAUUGGGAUCAACUAUCUUAGCAGUCGUUACCCAUGGUACCACUGAUGUGCAACAUGGUCACACAAUCUACCACGAUCGGACCGUCACCAUCUACCCAGGUAUUCCAUUUUUUAACCCUCUCGCCUUCUCUUUCAUUGUUGUACUAGUAGUAUACUUUGUAGUACUAGUAGGAGUACUUUUUACCUUAGAGGAUGCGUAUAGCUAGCUAGGCCCUUGAAGACUUGAACCCACUAGCUGCCACCAUUUUCAUUUUUCCAUGUCUUACUAUCUCAUCCAUGUAGCCAAGAGUAGCUAUAUAUAAUAAGCCAGUUAUUUUACUUCCUCUAUACCGGAGUAGUACUAUUUGCUGCACAGUAUUACUGACCGCCAUAUUUGAGCACAACAUUAUUAUGCAUGGACCUUGACUAUGUACGUCACCAUGUGUCCAGAUCUGGGAUGCUGCGUGUACCAGAUGAACGGCGCCGAGUUCGACCCCUGUGAUGCUACGUGGGUGCCGAGGAACACUCUUGGAGAGUACUCGCUUUUCAUCGGGGACAGCUACCCCAUUGUGAAGCGGAUGCCACCUUCCGUGCACGAUACGGAAGGCCUGCCGUUCAUGAAGCAUGGUUGUGUCUUCAGUGCGCACCGCCGGAUGAACGUCAUGCUGGGACACGCUAUCCCUGAUUUAUGCCGCUUCAGCCUGGAUGAGUCUCCAUCGUGUGGAACCGGACUAGAAAGUUGCGACAAUGAUUCCCGUUGCCCACCGCUAUGGAUCAUGCCAUCCAUGAAGAACACCUGGGACUGGAACCUGGAGGAGGACAUGUAGCCCAUCUAUAACGUGUAAGUGGAGUAUGGUAAUUGUGAACGGUAGCGCUGUGAAUAUAUGUAGACUAGUCGUGCACAAAUUUAUCACAUGAAUUGGAGAUGAACUUGUGUGGCAUACUGGCAUUUGUCCUUUAGAAUUUAUUACUAGUAAAUGUGUUAUGUGUACGUGCAACUUGUGUGGUUGUUGCACGGGCUCCAACACGCUCUUUGAGAAAAAAAAGGUGGCACAGCUUUGGAUAUACGUGACAUGGCGGCAUCAUACAGUAGCAUCGUUCGCUAUAGUUGUAGUACACUCCUACUAGGACGACAACUCCUAUAAAACCUUGCGCUUGGCUCUUUGCCUCUUCGGGAGGUUCAACAGUUCGUACUCGUGUGAACCUUGCACUUGGCUCUUCGCCUCUUCGGAAGGUCCAACAAUGAUGAUACUACAGUACAAUAUGCUUCUGGCAAUCUGACACCGAUUGAACUGCUGCACGUCCACCGCGAGGGCGAGGGAGAGGGAGAGGGAGAGGGAGAGGGCGCUGUAGUCAAAACCCUCUCCUCGUCCUACGAACCACCGCGCGCGUCGGCGAGGGAGAGGCAUAGUAAGCAAGCUUCUCCUCGUUCGGCGAGUUGACGGGACACAUCAAAGCAGUACUAGUACUAGUAGUAGUAGUCCAUACUGCGUCCUUUCCGAUUAAUAUGGCUUAAUUUGAAAUGAGAAAAAUACACUGGCGGUCAACAUAUGUAACAAUACGCUCUUUACGGUCACUACAUAUAGUUUUGCGGCGAUUAUACGAUCACUAGCUCAUCGUAGAGCACCGUAUUGCACCCUAUUGACCUGCCACAUAGUCGACAUGGCACUUUGUUGACUGGUUAAAUUGUCACCUGGUUUCUGGGACCCACCUGUCAGUUGGCAGAGCAAAGAAAUCAGUUAAACAAAACUUUACGCAGGCGCGACAAGAGCCCAACCCUUGUGCACGAACCGUCCUAGCUGUGUAUGUGAGUGCAUGCACGUGUCCUCCCUCGGUCUUCCAACAAAGAGUGUACAUCGGCUAUAAAACAAAGAGUGUAGUACAUGAUGUACAUCUACACUUCCAAUGCAUUUAGCCUUUAAUCUAAAUCGAUAUUGAUUGACUAAUGCACCAACUUGUGCUGUAGGUAUACGCUACAUGUCUAUCCUUAAUUACAGCAUGCAACGGCCUUCAUUUAAUCUUCUUAUCUCAAUGGUCGCAUGCACACAUAAGUCUACUACUUUUGGGCGUUAAUUAUGCCCUGGUCAAUGUGUAAAUCUCUAAAUGUACUUGAGCGUGAGCGUGUGUGUUGCGUCGUGUGCUGUGUGCCGCAUGGGUGCGUGAGUGUUGCGUGCGUCCAUGUGUACGUGUGAGUGUUGCAUGUUGCAUGCAUGCAUGGGGCUUACUACCUCCCAUUGACAUGUUCAUAUUUCAAGCUUCCUCUGUUCCCUCCAUAUGGUGAUACUCCCUCUGUUCCCAAAGAGUACGGAGUAAAAGCCUCCCUCUGUUCCUAAAUACGGAGUAUUUGUCUUUCUACAUAUUUCAACAAGUGACUAGGUACGGAACAAAAUGAGUGCAGUGAGCAUAGAGGCAUAGGGAUACUGUAGAAAGGAAGUCCUCGCAAUCCAUUAUUCCCCAUCUCGGUCAGAGAGAACUAUUCAACUAGUCUUCGCAGUGAAGUGACAAUACACGCUGCAGCAGAUGGGACACGUAAUUAAUAAGCUGAACCAGCGUGUUGGUGUUACUAAAUCAGCCUUACCCAGUACUGCCAUCAUGUUUGCCAGUAGAGCACGCUUCCGCAAAUACGCCUACGCACCUCUGUCCUCCAUUAACUGACAUAUGUCCCCUGUUGUGGUAGACCCACAUGUCAUCGGUGUAACUAUUUACACUCCGAAGGACGGUAUAUCCUGGUAGUAGUACUAGUAGAAUUGAGAUUGAAUGCACUUUCUUCCCCGUCUUCCACUCUUCUUCCUCCUCUCUUCUUCUUCCUCCUCUCUUCCCCAUCGUCGGCCAGACACCAUUUACCCCCGCUCACUGCUCGCCCGCCCGCGCCAUCUUCCUUGGUAGCUCGCGCGUACCAUAUCCUCCCGCUCACUGCUCGGCCACACGAGGAGAAGCUUCUUUGCUCGCCCGCCCGAAUCCACUUCCCCGCUGGCUCGCAGGCACCGAAAACCCCAAUGGCAGAACCGACUGACACGCAGAGCCGCGAUUGGAAUUCCCUCCCCGAUGUUCUCUUGGAGCAGAUCUGUAGUCGUAUGGACCUACUCAGCACCGUCCGUCUGGCCGCAUGCUCGGUGUCUUUGUACCAUCUACUCGUCUGCAACCGGCCGGCUCUUUUCAAGACACCCUGCUUGCUGAUGCCCGAUCCUCGCAGGUGGCCCAAACACCGACUUGAUGAUCCUACGGAGGUUGUCGUGGUUCCCCUCGACAUGCUACCACUACCCGUCCACCUGUCCUUCAUGCGCGGCCACUACUGGGCGGGCAUGAAGGCCAACUGGAUCGUCCUCAUCCACCACACCGGUAGUCCGUGGCGUCUCGUGGAUAUCUACACCCAGCGAGAGAUCACCCUUCCAUCAUUGGAUACCGCCGCCAUCGAGCCUCGUGGCCCGCCGGACACUCCUGCCUACUACGCACGAGACGCGUCAAGCUUUUGGCUCGACCUCUGUUUGCAGAAAGUUGUAAUCUGCGAAGUGCCCACACCAUCAGAAGACUACAUGGAUUACAAGCUCAUUGCCUUGUUCAACAUGGGAUUAGUCUAUCUGGAAUCCGGUUGCCAUACAUGGUUAUGGCUCAUCAUCAAUCCUGUUGAGGCAACAUUUCUGUCUGAUGCUAUAGUGCACGAUGGCAUCGUUUACGCGGUCGACGCACAGAUUGGCUGCCUAUACUGGUGGAAUCUAUCGUCGUGUAAUUGUUCUAUCUCAUCUCAUCUUUACCUUAUGAAUACAACUGCCUGUUCAUUUGUUACAAAUUUAGAAUGCAUAGCAUGUCUAUAACCACAUCAUUGCUAUAUGUUCCUCUCAUUUCCUAGAUUUUUAUGACCACACAUGUUAUUGUUAGAGUUGAUAUGAGAACAAUUGGCAUCUAAUGAUUGUUAGAAUACAUAUUAUGAGCAUAACAUCAUGAUUGCUAUAUGUUACUCUCGUUUACAAGAUUUUUAUAACAACGCAUGUUAUUGCUUAGAGUUGAUAUGAGAACAGUAGUAGUAAGUGCUAUGGUAGAAUAUGAGUAGGCGUUGUCAUAGCGGUUUUCCUCUCAUUGUUAUAUGAUGUUUGAACCAUGACAUAUUGCUUGAAUAUGAAAGCCAUUGGCUUAUUUUUUUAACUUGGGGUAUGAUUAUGACCACGGCAUUGCAAUUCUCUGUCUAUGGUAUGUGUCGCUGUUAUAAUAAUCUUAAUUCCACACAUACUCUGAACAUGAUUGUUCUUUUUUGUCCUUUUGGUCUCCAAUUUGAAUUGUUGCAGCAGACGCAAAUGCGCUGGCCUUCAUGAUUCCAGGACCUGGAAUCAUACCAGCCGAUGGGUGGUGGUUUAUCGCUCGUUCAGCUGACGGCGGUCAUUUGAUGCUCAUUCGCACGUACCAAAUUGACCAAACCAUUACAUCAAACCACAUGCAGUACAAUGCGUGGGGCGUUCGUGACAUUGAUGGCUAUGGCUGCUUCGUGUUCGAGAAAGAUCCCAGCUCCGUUGGGCCAGGCGUAUUCAACUGGAGGCGGGUUUACAGCCUCCGCAACCACUCCUUUUUCCUCGGGCUCAAUUAUCCGAUCAUCCAACCAAUCAUCGAUCGUAUCACCGGUGAUGAUUACUGUGCUAUGCAACUUCCAUUCGCGAGGGGGGGGCUGUGUUUACACAUCAUACCAUGGGUUUCAUGAAUCACCAUAUCCAGAGAUUCGUCGACACAGCUUGUUGCCAGAUAAUCUUCAGUGUGUGAAAGGCAUCAAGCUUCCAUGCGAUGGAUGGCUUUUGCAAACCCGACAUGCGGCGAUGUGGUUCAUGCCAACAGCAAAUAUGCACAACUUGAUUCGUGCUGAUAUCUAGACUGAGCCAUGUAUUCUGCUGCUGUAGCACGACCCUCUUUUGUUGGAUAUUAUGUACUGUUGUUAGUUUGAAGCACUCCUCUGGUUUGAAGGAUAGAUUUUUUCCUGGGAUCAAGUGCAUCCUAACUCACCUGCGUAGGAUGUAUUAUAUAUAUAUAUAUAUAUAUAUAUAUCAGUUAGGCUUCAAGUGCGUACUUGUUAGUUAAACCUAUGUAUAAAUUGUGACACUAAAUACGACUAGUAAGUAGUACAAUAGCAGUACUAGUAUACGUCGGUCAAAUUAUUCAUCAUGUCCACACAUUGAAUUGACGUGACAACACGCUGCGCGUGAGGUGACACAAGAAUCCCGGCGACGUGUUCAGGUAUUCUGGAUUUCAGAUUUGGAGUACCACUUAUCUGUUGAAAUCUUUCAUCAUUCACUUAAAACAGUCGAUUGAUCAUACAUUGAGUACGAUAUAACUGGAAUUACCGAUGCAAGUCGAAGAAGGAUUGGCCGGUGCUGCCGGCUGGCGUCAAGUUCGAUCCCACGGAUCAGGAGUUGAUCGAGCACCUUGAGGCCAAAGUGAGUGCUGACAGCGCGAGAUUUCAGUCUCUCAUCGAUUUGUUCAUACCAACCAUCGACAGCGAGCACGGCAUAUGCUACACCCAACCUGAGAAACUUCCAGGUAAGACACCGAUCGGCCGUCUACUUGCACAAACAUAUUCCUUUGUUUAUAGCUCUAUUUUUCUUUUUAGACGCAGACCUGGUGAAGCAAUUACAAUUUGACAGUUAAUAAAAAGUGAAACAAGUGACUGCAACAUGCCAAAGAUGUUAUGAAAAUGCCAACUAGGUACAUUGAAACCUGUAUUCCACAAUACUGCAGGUAUCACACUGAGUGGCCUAAGGAAGCAUUUCUUCCAGCGCAAUUCCAGGGCGUUCAAAAGGGGCACGUGGACGCGUCGCAAGAUACAGUCGGAGUGCGGCAUGCACGCGAUGUGGCACAAGACCGGCAAUACCUUGCCGGUGAUGGUCAACGGCCGGCAAGACGGGCAGCAAAAAAGGUUCUGGUGCUGCACACCAACAAGAACUUCGACCAGCAGAGGACCAACUGGCUAAUGCACCAGUAUCACCUCGGGACCUAGAGCAAGAGAAGGAGCGGGAGCUGGUCCUCUGCAAGAUUUUCUACCAGACGAACACUAGGGCCAGGAGUAAAAAGAUUAUAAGUUAGUUUGGUAUUGGUAGUUGUACUACCUUGUCGUCCGCAAGUUGGUAUUGUUGUUAACGAUCUUUUGGUAUGAACUUGCAUUUGCUUCCAACCAUCAUGCCGAGGGUCGACGUCGAUAUAAAGCUGAAUCGUUUGUUUCGAAAUGAAUUUUCAGGCACCUGAUUUUUAUUUGAUGGGUAGCAUAAGCACCCGCCGUUCGAAUUCCCAGUUCUCAAAUUUUUCCGAAACAAGUGCAUGCACUUAUUAUCACGAUAAAAAAAAUAUCCGUGCUGCAUCCCAGUUAUCAGUCUGUACUUGCAGAAUUCUCUCGUUUAUUGAGCACGUAUAUUGUUUUUUCAGGUCGAGCAAGUUUCAACUGGGUUGUAGACUGCCCAGGGUUGGUUUUGUUUUUAACAGGCCCAGCCCAUGACGACAACGGGGCACAAAGAUCCAGCAGGUAUCUACUGGCCUCUGGCCCGCCAGCGUUAGUUAUAUUUUGUCUUACAACAUCCGCAGGCAGUUUUUUUUACUGAAUCAAACACAUAGCCCAGUUCUAUUUUCCUCUUGAAACGCAUGUCCUACAUCCGUUUUCUGAUCUCUGCCUAUAGUUUUACUAGUUCAUAUACACGUAUCAUUAUAUUGAAAACACAUAAAAUUCCCUUUUCAUAUUUACAUCCUUAUUUUUGUUGUUUUUUCCCACCCAGCGCUGAUUUUUUUACCACUGGUUUCCCCUUAAACCAACUCAAUUGUCCCACGUCUUAUUUGCUUACAAAAACAAAACGAUUUUUUUGGCAAAUCAAUAAGUUCUUAAAAAAAAUGUUUAUCAUUUCGGGAUUACAACAGUUCGGACUCCACCGAAAUAUGCAAAAUAAGGUUGAACUUUUUGACCGUGGUCCUGGGCAGAAAAUGGGCUGUAAUAAAUUACUUAAGAAUUAGCAAAUGGGCUACAAAUUAUAAAAAAUAGAAAAUGGGCUUUAUGUUGUCUGCCAUAGAUUUGGAGGCUGACUUGUGGGCCUACUAAGUGCAUGCGUACACAAGGUUUCUCAAAAAAGAAACUUAGUCAACAAUCGACUCUACCAGCGUCAGACCGUUAGAUGUCAAUCUAACGGCAAUCGUGCUUCUUCAGUCUCUGAUCUUCCUGUCCCAGCCGCCCAAACCAGCGCCGUCGGAACCCCUGCUCCCGCCUCCCGUGGCCGGCAGUGCUGCCGGGCAGGCCUCACGGCCCCAUCAUACUCGCAUCCCUGGCCUAUCUAUCCCUCUACUCACCCACACCUCCUGUUAUUUUCCGGCGACGACAGCCGAACCAGUCAACCCUCGUACUCUCCACCGCGUGGGCAGCCAUUGCCGUGUCUUCCCCGGCUCCGUGUCGUUCCCUUCGUAGGCCUCGCCAUCGUCCACCGCCCUGGUGCUCUCGGCGCAGCGUGGUCAACGAUGUCCAUCCAACGGCCGUAGUGCUUCUUCAACCUCUGGUCUUCUUGCCCCAGCUGCCCAAAGCAGUGCCGGUCGUGCCGCAUGCUCCUGCCUCCCGUGGCCCGGUGUGCUGCCGCGGAGGCCUCACCGUCCCCAUACUACUCCCACCGCUGGACAGGCCAUCCCUCCACUCACCCACUCCCCCUGUUAUUCUGCGGCGACGGCAGCCUCACACCGCAGCCGAACCAGUGAACCCUCGUACUCCUCUCUGCGUGGGCAUCCACUGCCGCGUCUUCCCCGGCUCCGCGUCGUCCCCUUCCUAGGCCUCGCCGUCGUCCACCGUCGUGGUGCUCUCGGCGCGGCGUGGUCAAUGUGAUCAACGACGACUUCCAUCGGAAGAGUACUGUACGUGGAGAGGCUGACAGCUGGGUCCACGGCAGCCGCAAGGAAGUGCCUCCUUAUUACGCACAAAAUAAUUAUUCCUCCACCUAACAGCAGGGACCCACCGGACGGGCCACCAGUAUUUCGCGGAAAAAACGUUUCCCACCUGACUGCUGGGCCCCACCGGACGGGCCACCGUAUUUUCCGAAAAAAACGUUUGCCCCUGACUGCUGGGACCCACCGGAUGGACCACCGUAUUUCGCGAAAAAAAACGUUCCCCCUGCUGUCAGCUUGGACCCACCGGAAGUGCCUCCUUAUUACGCAUAGAAAAAUGAAUACUCCCCCUGCUAGCUGGGACCCACCAUGGUGGGAGGCUGACUUGUGGGCCUACUAAGUUGACGGGGACGGAGGGCUUUGUCAACUUAGUCAAUAUGAACGAUUCUAGCUCCAGUCACCGUACGAUGUCCAUCCAACGGCCGUAGUGCUUCAUCAACCUCUGGUCUUCUUACUCCAGCCGCCCAAAGCAGCGCCGGUCGUGCCGCAUGCUCCUGCCUCCCGUGGCCGGCUGUGCUGCCACGGAGGCCUCACCGCCCCCUACUAUUCCCACCGCUGGCCAGGCCCUGCGGCGACGGCAGCCUCACACCGCAGCCGAACCAGUGAACCCUCGUACUCCUCUCCGCGCGGGCUUCCACUGCCGCGUCUUCCCCGGCUCCGCGUUGUCCCCUUCCUAGGCCUCGCUGUCGUCCACCGCCGUGGUGCUCUCCGCGCGGCGUGGUCAACGUGGUCAAGGAACGACUUCCAUCGGAAGAGUACUGUACGUGGAGAGGCUGACAGCUGGGUCCACGGCCACAGCCCAGUUUUUUUGUGAUUUGCCAAGUAAGUCGCUUUGUCAGGCCUGUUGGGCUGCAAAUCUUUCAAGACGAGGAGAGCUUUCAUUCGGCUGGCCGAGAAAAUGGCCCAUCAGUAAUGAGAAAUGGGCUGUACAUUUUUAAAACACAUCAAACCGGCAAUUAGUUUCAAAUAUCUUUUUUUUCAUUUUGAGAUUUUAAAUUACAUUAAUUUUUAUGCGUGGAGAAUUUGUUAGAUUUUAUAUUGAUAUACAUUUAUUUUUAAAAUCAGUUUGAAUGUGAGUCGAAAUUUCGGGAUUAAAAACAGUUCGGACCGCACCGAAAUAUGCAAAAUUUUGUAUAAUUUUUUAACCGUGGCCACAAUAUGGGCUAUAAUGCUAACAAAAAGAAUAUGGGUUCCAAAAAAAACCUUAAUAAUUAGCAAAUGGGCUGUAAAUUAUUAGAAAUAAUGGCAGAUGGGUUGUAUGCUGUUUUCCACAGAUUUGAGGCUUUCCUAAAAAAAGGUUGACGCACAAGCAGUGACUAUUGGAUGGCCAUCCAACAGCCGUCGUGCUUCUUCAAUCUCUGCUCUUCCUGCUCCAGCCGCUCAAACAAGCGCCGGCGGGACUGCCUGCUCCCUCCUCCCUGCGACUGGCUCUGCUGCUGCGCAGGCCUCACCGCCCCACCGUACUCCCAUCGCUGGCCUAGCCAUCCCUCAACUCACCCACACCUGCUGUUAUUCUUCGGCGACGGCAGACGAACCAGUAAACCCUCGUACAGUCGUACUCCCCUCCGCGUGGGAAACAACUGCCAAGUCUUCCCUGCCUCCGUGUCAUUCCCUUCCUAGGCCUCGCCGUCGUCCACCGCCCUGGUGCUCUCGGCGCGGCCUGGUCAACAUGGUCAAUGACCGACAUGCAUCUGAAGUGGACUGUACGUGGAGAGGCCGACAGCUGGGUCCACGGCCGCACGCAAGGAAAUGCCUCCUUAAUACGCGCAAAAUAAUGAUUCCUCCACCUGACAUCAGGGACCCACCGAAAAGGGCCUCUGUAUUUCGCGAAAAAACGUUACCGCCGCUGACAGCUCGGACCCACCAGCUAUAUCUUUGCACGCAAGGAAGUGCCUCCUUAUUAUGCACACAAAAAAUGAAUACUCCCCCUAUUAGCUAGGACCCAGUAUAGUGGCAGGCUGACUUGUGGGCCUACUAAGUUGACGGGGACGGAGGGCUUUGUCAACUUAGUCAAUAUGCACGAUUCUAGCUCCAGUGACCGUACGAUGUCCAUCCAACGGCCGUAGUGCUUCUUCAACCUCCGGUCUUCUUGCUCCAGCCGCCCAAACUAGCGUCGGUCGUGCCUCGUGCUCCUGCCUCCCGUGGCCGGCUGCGAUGCGGCGGAGGCCUCAAUGCCCCUACUACUCCCACCGCUGGCCAGGCCAUCUCUCUACUCACCCACACCCCCUGUUAUUCUGCGGCGACGGCAGCCUCACACCGCAGCGAACCAGUGAACCCUCGUACUCCUCUACGCGUGGGCAUCCACAGCCGCGUCUUCCCCGGCUCCGCGUCAUCCCCUUCCUAGGCCUCGCCGUCGUCCACCGCCCUGGUGCUCUCGGCGCGGCGUGGUCAACGUGGUCAAGGAACGGCUUCCAUCGGACGUGGACUGUACGUGGAGAGGUUGACAGCUGGGUCCACGGCCGCAGCAAGGAAGUGCCUCCUUAUUACGUGCAAAAUAAUUAUUCCUCCACCUGACAGCGGGGACCCACCAGAUGGGCCACCGUAUUUCACGAAAAAAAACGUUUCCUCCUGACUGCUGGGACCCACCAACUACACCUUCGCACGCAAGGAAGUGCGUCCGGGCAAAAAAACAAAACGAUUCGCCCCCCUGACUGUUGGGACCCACCAGCUACAUCUUCGCACGGAAGGAAGUGCCUGACAGUCGGGACCCACCUGGUCGAAGCGUACGUAGCAUUGUCAUUCUGGUCGCGAACGUGUACGUACAUAUAUACUGAUGGAUGUAGAGGCGUGUACGUGUCGUAGUAGAGGCGCGCACGUAGCAUGUACACGUACAUACAGCGGCUAGGGUGCAAGAAAGAAAAUACGGCCACGUAUGUGUACAUACGGGCGGGGUCUCGAACGCCUACUCGCGCAUACGUACGGCCAGGGCUCGUGUACAUGGCUGGGUCGGAACGGAGAAACAGCGUCGUCGUCAUGUUCAUGGGAAGGCUACGGAAUGCGUCGUGUUCAUCAGGAGGCAACGGAACGCGUGGGAGCCAACCGGCUGGGUCGGAACGGAAUGCGUGGUCGUGUUCAUCGGGAGGGCUUGGACGGAACAGGCGAUGGAAACUAGGCCUGGCGUACCGCAGAACGGAGGAAACGGACCUCCUACGGUCGAAACGGGGGUCCUGUUGAUCGGGAGGGGUGUGGCGUACCGCAAAACGGAGGAAACAGACCUCCUACGAUCGAAACGGGGGUCCUGUUGAUCGGGAGGGGUGUGGCGUACCGCAAAACGGACGAAACAGACCUCCUACGGUCGAAACGGGGGUCCUGUUCAUCGGGAGGGGUGUGGCGUACCGCAAAACGGGACUCCACGAGAUACUGUUCAUCUCCACCGUCGACCUCCUCCAGCCUCCACGGGCUACCGUCGACCUCCUCCAGCCUCCACGGGCUCCUGUUCAUCCAGCCUCCACCNNNNNNNNNNNNNNNNNNNNNNNNNNNNNNNNNNNNNNNNNNNNNNNNNNNNNNNNNNNNNNNNNNNNNNNNNNNNNNNNNNNNNNNNNNNNNNNNNNNNNNNNNNNNNNNNNNNNNNNNNNNNNNNNNNNNNNNNNNNNNNNNNNNNNNNNNNNNNNNNNNNNNNNNNNNNNNNNNNNNNNNNNNNNNNNNNNNNNNNNNNNNNNNNNNNNNNNNNNNNNNNNNNNNNNNNNNNNNNNNNNNNNNNNNNNNNNNNNNNNNNNNNNNNNNNNNNNNNNNNNNNNNNNNNNNNNNNNNNNNNNNNNNNNNNNNNNNNNNNNNNNNNNNNNNNNNNNNNNNNNNNNNNNNNNNNNNNNNNNNNNNNNNNNNNNNNNNNNNNNNNNNNNNNNNNNNNNNNNNNNNNNNNNNNNNNNNNNNNNNNNNNNNNNNNNNNNNNNNNNGUUCAGUAACGCGUAGCCUGCAGUGCAAUCGCUCGGGUUCAGUUAGAGCCCAACGCCUCGCUCGGGUUCAGUUAGAGCCAACGCCUCGCACACACGCGCGUACGUGUACGAGAGAAACGCGCAUCGCUCGGCCCCCGACCUCCCACCGUAACCGGGAACUCCCCGAAAUUUUCCUCGCCCUCGCUUCUACCAUGGUUUUUUCCGUCAUGGACGGCCCAAAGAAUGUCAUGCAGCUGUGUCUUCGGCCCGCCCUGGACGAAAAGCCCAUUUUCUGUCAUGAUUUUUUGUCAUAGAAGUAGGAGCCCACCACAUCUAUGAUGAUACCGGGUUUUGUCACAAUUAUCGUCAUAGAAGUGUCAUAUGUAUGACAAAAAAAAAUUCAUUCGGCCCAAAAUGUCACAGAUGUGUCUUUUUUUGUAGUGUAGGCCCGGUGCCUGGCAACAGUUCUAUCAAAAACUCGAUGUCUCGAUCUGGCGGCAUUCCUGGUAAUUCCUCUGGAAAUACAUACGGGUAAUCCUUUACGACAGGCACUUCCUCCUGAACAACUCCUGAGAGGGAAUUCACUUGGCUCCUCCUAGGCGCGUGCCUAGAUACAUACUUGAUCCUUUUUCCCUCCGGGGUGGUGAGAUAAAUCGACUUACUAGCACAGUCAAUGCUUCCUCCAUACUUUGACAUCCAGUCCAUGCCUAAUAUCACAUCCAAUCCUUGUGACUCCAAAAUUAUUAGGUCGGACGGAAAAACAUGGCUACCAAUGGUUAAGGGUAUCCGGUCGCACCAUCGGCUAGCCAUAUACUCUGCUCCAGGUGAACUUACUAACAGAGGGGUCCUAAGGGCUUGGGUUGGUAGUUUAAACUUAUCCACGAAUCCCCUUGAUAUGUAUGAAUGUGAUGCACCAGUAUCAAAAAGAACAAGGGCGGUAAAAGACUUAACCAAAAACGUACCGAUAACCGCGUCUGGCUGCUCUUCAACCUCCUCCAUGUUAACGUGGAUCACUUGUCCUUUGUUGAAUGGAUUGGGCUUCUUCCCAGCGCUCCCAUUACCGUUUCCAUUCUUCGCUUCAGGGCACUCCGUGGCAUAGUGUCCAGUCUUCCCACACUUGAAGCAAGUAAUGUGACUUAGGUCUCUCUUGGCGGGUGUGGCUGGAUUGGAGCGAUUCUGAUUGUUGCUUGUUUCGUUCCCAGUCCCAUUCUUAGAACCAUUAUGGUUAUGCCAACUUCCUCCGGUGUGGUUAUGACCUCCAUGGUUAUGAACAAGUCCUCCCGAGUUCGGGGUUAGACGGGGCUUAUGCUGAGCUCCAGAAUUGUAUCUUCCUUGCCCAUACUUCCUCUUACGGCUCUCAAUCUGCUGCUGCUUCCCUUCAAUCAUAAGAGCCUUAUCUACCAACUCCUGGUAGUUGUUGAAUGUUGCCACCAUCAACUGCAUGCUCAUCUCGUCAUUCAGCCCUUCCAUAAAUUUCUCCUGCUUCGCAGCAUCUGUGGCCACAUCAUCAGGGGCAUAGCGAGAUAACUUGCUAAACUCAUCCACGUACUGAGCUACAGUACGGUUUCCCUGCCGUAAGUUGCGAAACUCACGCUUCUUCAUGUUCAUAGCUCCAGUUGAGACAUGGGUUGUGCGGAAAGCUUGCUGAAACUGAUCCCAAGUGACGUUGGCUAUGGGGAAAGUGGCCAUAUAAUUCUCCCACCAUGAGGCUGCUGGUCCAUCCAAUUGAUGUGCGGCAAAGCGCACCUUCUCAGCAUCUGUGCAACCUACGGUGAUCAAUUCCCUUCCAAUACGGUGUAGCCAAUCAUCAGCAACUAUAGGAUCGGUGCUACUGGAAAACACCGACGGCUGCAACCUCAGAAAGCGAGCUAAGUUGUGAACUGGAGGCGGGUUGUUGUUGUUGUUGUUGUUGUUGCCUUGGUUCCGGACUAACAAUUGCAUCAAGGCAUUCUGCUGCUGGAUCAACUGAGUGAGCUCUGGCGGGAAGGCAAAUCCGGUGUCACGUCUCGGAGGCAUCUGAUGGGUUUAGAGGGGAGAUAUUAGAAUAGAAUAGGGGUCUAGUGAGAGAACACUACCCAUAUGCACAUGGGAAAAACACAAUCAUAUCACUCAAUCAAUCAAACAAGGGCAUACAAACGGUCUAGAACUAUCGUUGAAAGUGCUCAAUUACUACUAUAUACAUGGGGGAACACUACUAAUCAUUUGGUGGUCAUCUAGAAAUUUUGAUCGGUAGAAGACUCCAUGAUGUCUGCUCCAGCUUCGUCUUCAAAGUCAUCUUCACUGGGGUCGGAGUCGGUGUCGUCGAUGAUGAUGUAGCUCUCCGGGCAAGUGGAAUCGCCAUCCUCUCCUCCUGGUGCGGGGUCUCCCAUGAAUACUCCGAUCUUCUUUAUCAGGUCGUCAUUCUUCUCCAAUAGUGUUGCAAUUUCCUCCUCGUAUCCAUCGCGUGUAGACUUGAGUUCUUCUUCCAGCUCGAUGAUCCUUGUCUUCGCCUUCUUCAAAUCUAUCACGUCUGCGCACAUCUGAUUCUCCUAGCGUCGAAUGUGUUGGUUUAACUCUGGAUGAAAGCUGCAAUGGAUCUAUCCUUCUUGGUGCUGAUCAUCUCCCAUUGCUCAUCUUAGCGACCACAUAUCUGGUAGAUAGUGUCCUUGAGCUCCUUGUUGUAGACUUCUCCAAUACGUCCCAUGGCAAUGUGGGCUGCCAUGCUCUUGCCCAGACUCCAGGUUGGUGCAUCAAAGGAAAACUCUAUGGGCUCAGUGAUUGGCGUGAACGUCCUUCCUGGAACUUGAACUCGAAUCAUCCAGCGCUCCUCUUCUGGUAAAGUGCCGUUGUAGGUCCCAGUGAAGCUUGGUAUUCCGAUGUUCAGGUACCUAGUGACUUCCUUCAAGUGGCGUCCAAAGGGUGCAUCUUCAUCCGGUUGUCCAAACUUGUUCCUCGAAUCCGCCAUCCUAAAGAGUAGAAAAUGGAGAGGAGUCAGAAAUGAGUAGAGAAGAGUGACCUAUGGUUUAUCUUAGUGGUCGUGUCCUACACUCAGUGUGUGCUCUGAUAGCAUCUUGUACCGACCCGACCUCAGACGGUCAAGUCUCUGUGCUUCCGUGUCAUCCCUGGAUCGGUAAUGCUGACACACACAGUACUCGAAGGAUUUAUAACAGAGUAGCAAUCACACACUUAUUACAUCGAAUGUCUCAAAAGAGAACUUAUUACAAUAAACAUGGCAUAAGGCCAUCUAAUACGAUAACAGCGGAAGGCUUGGAAGAUAAAGUGAGUCCAUCAACUCCAACGGCAUAGCUGAACUGCACGGCAACGACCUAACAAACCUUACUCCUCGUCUGAAAAGUCUGCAACAUAAUACGUUGCAGCCCAAAAACUGGUCAGCACAUGGAAUAUGCUGGCAAUAUAACACAGCAGAGCAAGAACAGAACAAAAGCUAUCACUACAUGCAUAUUUGGCUGGUGGAAAGCUCUAUGGUUAUAGUUUUGCGAAAAGCCAAUUUUUCCCUACAACAAAUCAAUGGAUUUUAUUUAACUAUCAUGGUAGUUGAAACAUCAUUUUUUUGAACCUUUUAACAGUAUGAGAACCUCCUACUGUUUUUGUAUUAAUAUGAUGGGGGUGACAAUUUACAUGAGGGCAUUACAUGAUGUCUUUACAACUCACCCUCCCUUUGGGAGGUGAGGGAGAACUCAAGAUAUAGAGGAGAGGAUGAGUGGAAUGAGAUGUUUAUGCUUUUCCUUAACCCCAUAGGUAAGGAGAGAAAAAUCAGUCUUAAGCCUAUCUAACCAUGAAGUCUUCGAGGGCAUCAUCCCCCUGAAGUGUUUGUUGUUACGUUCUUUCCAGAUACUCCAGGCGGCAGUCAGAAAUAGCUCCAUGAAGAGAGGCCUGUUCCAGUUGUUUUUGGCAAACACAACAUUUUGCAGGCGAGGUUGUCCCUGAUUCCACAGAAUUCCAAGGCCGGACUAGCAUUCAGUACUAAAUUGACACUCAAAGAAGAGGUGCUCCAGUGUUUCCUCGAUGUGUAGUCCACAUAAGAUGCAAUCAUAGUCAUUUCCUAUAUUGUAGUGCCUCCUUUUGAGCAUAUUCCGCGUGUUUAGUCGAUCAGAAAGGAGCAACCAUCCAAAGACUUUAAUUUUCAUGGUGGCUUUUGAUUUCCAGAUCCAGCCAAACGCCUCAUGAGCCCUAACUUCUCCGAAGUAGAAAGUGUAGUAUCUAUGAGCUGUGUAGCUUUCCGUGCCCCAAAUAUAUGUCCAAACAUCUGGCUCAUUGGAGAUAGCCGUUUCCCUCGUGUCCUCUUGCAGUUGACGCACCUCUGCAUGGGCCUGUGCCGAGAGAGGUAAAUGAAACGCCUUGCUCAGUGACGUGAUGGACAAGAAAUCCUUCACAGAGAUAUCUUCAUUGAUGGCGUAAGAGAGUGCACGCGGGUACUUCUCAUCAAAUGUGGUAUCAGUCCAUAAAUCUUUCCAGAAGAGCACAUUAGAUCCAUUAAUCACAUGAACGUUUGAGAUACCCCUAUAGGUUGGCAUUAGUUUGGCAACGUCUCGCCACCAGAAUGAUCCACAAGGGUCUGAAGCAUGCGGAAUUUGAUUCGUGUAGUAUGUUUCCCAGAUGAGUUCAACCCAAGGCACGUUCCAUCUAUUGUAGAAUUUAUGUAAAUACUUUAAUAAGAGUGCAUCACCUUGGAUCCUGAGAUCAAUCACUCCCAAUCCACCACUUUCCUUGGGAUGACAAACCAUUUCCCAAGAAGCAAGAGAAUUGCAUUUGUCCCCUUGCUCUGUUUUCUUUGUCCAUAGGCAUUUCCUUCUAAUUUUGUCUAGGAGCUCAAUAAUUUUGGUAGGCAAUCGAAGCGUGCAUAGCGCAAAGAUAAUGAGCGAAGUGAUCACCGAAUUAAGCAGGUUUAGCUUUCCACCAUAUGAAAUCAUGUUGAGAGUAGCCGUUAGUCUUCUCUCCAUGGAAUAGACCAGAGGCAUGAGAUCGAGGACAGUUGGUCGAGUAGUACCAAGUGGGAGCCCUAGGUAUGUGAAGGGCAUCUUGCCAACGACGCAUCCGAAGAUAUUAGCAAUCUCUUCGGAUUUAACAUUAUCACAAUUGAUUGGAAUGAGAGUAGAUUUGUGGAAGUUUCAAACCAAUGGACGUAGCAUAGUCUGUCAAAAUGUCCUUGAUAACGGUCGCAUGUUGUGUGCAUGUUGGUAACACUAGAAUGGUAUCAUCGGCGUACUGGAUGACUGGGUACUCUUUUUGAUGCGGAGAAGGGAAGGGCAGGUGUAUUUGAUGGCGUGCAAAGGCAUCGUUGAUGGCUGCUUGAAGGAGAUCCGCUGCUAGCAUGAAAAUGAGGGGUGAAAGAGGAUCCCCCUGCCUGACCCCACACUUGCAAAGAAAUUGGCGCCCAGGAGUACCAUUUAGGAGGACAGAGGAUUUUGCUGAAGAAAAGAUGCAGCGAAUCCAGGUGAGCCAUUUGUCAUUGAAUCCCAUGUUUUUCAUAAUCUCAAUCAUCACUUCAUGUUCAAUUGUGUCGAAGGCUUUGGCAAAGUCAAGCUUGAGAAGCAUGAUUUCUUUUUUAGAACUUUGGCAUUGAUAAAUAUACUCGUAUGCCCAUGCGAGGCAGUCCUGGAUAGUCCUCCCCUUUAGGAACCCAUAUUGGUUAUAGUUGAAACAUCAUUGAGAAGGUUCCUCCAACUCAAUCCCAAUUAAAAGUAAUUAUCAACCCAACAAUAUUAAAUUAAAGUGAUGAGAUACUUAGGAUAAUCCAAGUACUAGAUACUCAAGAUGUCCAUAACCGGGGACACGGCUAAUCAUGAUUAGAUUGUACACUCUGCAGAGGUUUGCGCACUUUUCCCCACAAGACUCGAUCUCCUCCGUUGGAUUUCUCGCACUACAUGGUGUUUGAGAAACGGAUGACCGAGACACAGUCUUUCAGAAGCAUUAACUCUAACCCCGGGUAGACAGUACCAACCUACAUCCCUCUACAUCUGCUAGCCUACCACUUGAAGAGGUCAUGACACUUACUCAACUAUGCUAGAGCCCAUAAUGGCUUGUGGCUGCACACGGAAGUUUCUAGAAUGAAAUAUCUCAGUUCCCUUUGAGCCUGGGUGGCGGACCUUAGGAUGAUCACACGGGUCCUCCGGGAUAUCCUAGGACAACACUGGAUUCUCCAGGUGCCCGACAAGCAAUCCACCCAGAUGUGUAUUAAAGUUGCCACCUUAAGUUGAACCAUUAAUUAACAAACUCACAUCUGUCAUGGAUUCACUCACCCAAACCACGUCUACGAGCAUAGCAUAGCAAUAUAAGCAUUACGUAGAAGUAACUCCCAAGGGGAUUUAUAAUAACAGGGCAAUAGGUUCUACCUCAUCAACUACUUCCCAAUACCCACAAGUUAAUCACAUCCUAUUCAUGCAGUGUUUGAGGAUUGGAGCUAAUGCAUAAAAACUGGGUAUGAAAAGAGUAUGAUCAAUGUGUUACUUGCCUUGCUGACGAUCCGCAAAACCUAGGGACUCGUAGUAGCACGCUUCGCACUCCGGGAAUUCUAUCGCAAACAAACAAUAGCAUACAUAAGAAAUCAAUCAUAGAUGCACGGGCAAAACUCAAAUAAGAAGAAUUGACCAAAAAGUUCAACUUAAGAACUCCGGUUUGCAAAAAGAAUCAAAUCAAACGGAGCAACGAAACUCAAACUUCGAAAGAAACAAGAUCCGAUUACUAAUCUGGACUAAAGUCAAAUUUUAUAGUACCAUAAUCUUGUUCAAGUUGGUUAAGCAGAAAGAGGGUUUCGAGACGAAGAUCUAGGCGCUUGAAUCCCCUGAUUCCGAUAAACGAGCGAAAAGAUAAACUAAAACGAAAAUCAGAUCAGAAAUCGCGAUCGAAAAUAAUCGCGAAAAACCCGAGAAAAGGAAAAACUGACGAACAGGCUAAUGAACGAACGUUCAUUGUCUGUGACUAAUGGGCAAAAACCAUUCGUUAAAACGAACGUACGGACGAACGUCCGCAAAAUAAACUAAACCGAGAAAACCGGCGAACCGAUCUAAAAAAACGAACUAGGUUUUUAAAAAAACCGACAGUUUUUACCUAAACCGAAAAAAACCGAGCGGCUCCGGAUCGGAUCGGCGGCGGCGGCUCCAGCGGCGCGAGGUGGGGCUGCGGGGUGGCGGCGACGAUGGGGUGGUGCGGCGCGGCGGCGGCGGCACAAGGCGAGGCGAGGCGCAGCAAGCGGCGGCGGGCGGCGGCUGCUGCUGCUGCUUGUGGAGGCGGUGGUCGCGAUUUGGGGCGGCGGCGGCGGGGUAUUUAAGAGGGGGAGGGGCGGGGUCAGCUUGGGGAAGGGAGCGGGAGGAGUCCCGGGCGGCGACGGCGGCGGCUGCCAAGUCCUGGCCGGACUCGGGCACGGGGAGGCGGUGGCGCGGGGUUGGGCCGGCCUGGCUCGGCUGGGCUUCGGCCCAGUCGGGCGCAUAAAAAUUUUUUAAACAGAUUCUGCUGAAAAUAAAUCAUAGAAAAAUAAAUAAAUAACUGAAAAUGAAAAAACAAAUUUUCACCGUCUAAAUAAAAUAGUUAGAACAAGAUGAACACUUUCUUGGCCCUAAAAUGCAAUUUUUCUAAUGCAAAUAAAAUAGCAAUAAAAUCCGAAUAAGAUCAAAUAUUUGGUUUUAAUAUUUUUCCUCCAAUAUUUCAUUUAUUUUGAAGAAGUCAUAUUAUCUCCUCUCAUAUAUUUUAAUAUGAAAUAUUUUUCGGAGAGAAAAAUAAUUAAAACAAAUAAUCCUUGUUUCAAUAUUUGAUAAAAAUCAAAUAUGAAAACAGUGAAAUCCCUAACUCUCUCCGAGGGUCCUUGAGUUGCUUAGAAUUUCGAGGAUCGCGAAACGAAAUGCAACAAAAAUAUGAUAUGCAUGAAUGAUCUAUGUAUAACAUUCCAAAUUGAAAAUUUGGGAUGUUACAUCUUUCUAUGUGUCCGGUUGAAACGUUUUGCUCAUGUGUAUGUGGUGAGUGUUAGCAGUCAUAGAAGACUAUAUGAUGGUUGAGUAUGUGGAGCUCUUACUUAGACUCUGUUGAAUAAGUUGAAUUGCAAUUGCUUGGUGACUAAGAACAUAGGUUGUUGAGUAUCAAGAGAGUUCAUUGUUUGGACCUUAACAUGUGAAUUCGUUGCUACUAUAACAUGAGAAGUUUUAUAAGAAAGAAUUGAUGUUAUGAUGCUAGGAAAAGUGAUUAAAUUUAUCAUUGAUCAAACUUAUGUACUUUGCUAGCAUUCACACUUCAUAAAUUAUUUCUUUUAUCAUUUACCUACUCGAGGACAAGUAGGAAUUAAGCUUGGGGAUGCUGAUACGUCUCCAACGUAUCUAUAAUUUAUGAAUUAUUCAUGUUGUUAUUUUAUCAUCCUUGGAUCUUUUACAAUCAUUUUAUAGCAACUUUAUAUCAUUUUUUGGGACUAACCUAUUGACCCAGUGCCCAGUGCCAGUUUGUUGUCUUUGCUUGUUUAUUACAUCGCAGGAAAUCAAUACCAAAUGGAGUCCAAACGCAACGAAACUCCACGGAGAUUUUUUAUGGACCAGAAGGAAUCCAAUGGGCCAGAGUUGCACCUGGGGGUGCCCCGAGGGGGGCACAACCCACCAGGGCGCGCCAGGGCCCCCUAGCGCGCCCAGGUGGGUUGUUCCCACCUCGGUGGCCUCCCGCACCCCCUCUUUACCCUAUAAAUUCCCAAAAAUUCCAAAAACCCUCGGGGUUAACCUAGAUCAGAAGUCCCGCCGCCGCAGGGCUCCGUAGCCACUGAAAACCAAUCUAGACCCGUUCUGGCAUCCUGCCGGAGGGGAAUCAUCUCUGGUGGCCAUCUUCAUCAUCCCGGCGGCCACCAUGAUGAGGAGGGAGUAGUACACCCUCGGGGCUGAGGGUUUGUACCAGUAGCUAUGUGUUUAAUCUCUCUCUCUCGUGUUCUUGAGAUGUCAUGAUCUUGAUGUAUCGUGGGCUUUGUUAAUAUAGUCGGAUCAUAUGGUGUUUUCCCCUCUCUAUCUUGUUGUGAUGAAUUGAGUAUUUCCCUUUGAGAUUUCGUUGUUAUCGGAUUGAAUACUUUUAUGGAUUUGAGAACACUUGAUAUAUGUCUUGCAAUUGAAUACUCGUGGUGACAAUGGGGUAACGUAUUGAUUCACAUGAUAUAUGUUCUGGCACUCAACUCGCAGAUUCCCGAGGUGACAUUGGGAUAAUCUAUGCAUAGGGGUUGAUGCACGUUCUUGUCUUUGUUUCUCCGGUAGAAAUCUUGGGGCACUCUUUGAAGUUCUUUGUGUUGGAUUGAGUAUUAUGAAUGUGGAUUUGCUUUGAUGUUAUUUUAGUACGAACUCUAGGAUAGAUUGAACGGAAAGAAUAGCUUUGUGUUAUUUUAGUACGAACUCUUGAAUAGAUCGAACGGAAAGAAUAGCUUUGAGGUGGUUUCGUACCCUACAAACAAUUUAUUCUUAUGUUCUCUGCUAGAUAGGAACUUUGGAGUGAUUCUCCGUCGCACUUUGAGGGGUGUUUAUAUGAUCCAAUUAUAUUAGCAUUGUUGAGAAAUUGCACUAGCGAAAGUACGGACCCUAGGCCUCAUUUUCAAGCAUUGCAAUACCGUUUUUGUGCCUGUUUACUAUUUGCUACCUUGCUGUUUUCAUUUAUUCAGAUUAUAGAAAUAUAUUUCUACCAUCCAUAUUACACUUUUAUCACCAUCUCUGCGCCGAACUAGUGCACCUAUACAAUUUGCCAUUGUAUUGGGUGUGUUGGGGACACAAGAGAUUUCUUGUAUUUGGUUGCAGGAUCAUUUGAGAGAGACUAUCUUCAUCCUACACCUCUCAGGGAUUGAUAAACCUUAGGUCAUCCACUUGACGGAAAAUUGCUACUGUCCUACAAAACUCUACGCUUGGAGGCCCAACACGUGUCUACAAGAAUAAAGUUGCGUAGUAGACAUCAACUUACUAGCCGAAGCCUUUGCAGCUGAAGAACUAACCACCCUACGAUCCACAGUGGACAAGGAUGAUGUGAUUCUCGACAAGAGAUCUAAAUGCACCUCUUUCAAGCUAGCAGAUGAAAUAGUUAAAUUCCAAGUGCACCCGGCGGAUCCUAAUAAAGCAGCGUCCAUCGGAGCAUAGCUGGAUCCGACGGUAGACGCCGCCUUAUGCGUGUUCCUACGUGAAAAUCGGGAUAUCUUUGCCUGGCACCCCUUAGACAUGCCCGGGAUCCCACAUAGGCUAGCCGAACACAGCCUCAACAUAAUCAAAGGGUUCAAACCAGUCAAGCAAACGCUGCGGCGAUUUUCCAAACCCAAACGAUAAGCUAUGGUGGAGGAGCUAGCCAAACUGCUCGAGGCCAGGUUCAUCAGAGAAAUCAAACACCCGGAUUGGUUAGCCAACUUGGUCAUGGUGCCGAAGAAGGAUCAAUCUUGGCGCCUUUGUGUCGAUUUCAAAGACCUCAAUAAGGCUUGCCCUAAAGCCCCUUUCCCAUUACCCCGUAUUGACCAGAUCAUUGAUGCGACCGUGGGACAUGACUCAUUGUGUUUCCUCGACGCUUACUCCGGAUACCAUCAGAUUAAAAUGAAGGAGUCUGAUCAGGCCGCAACAGCGUUCAUCACCCCGUAUGGGCCUUUCUGUUUCAACACUAUGCAUUUUGGGCUUAAAAACACUGGUGCCACUUACCAACAAAUGAUUCAAACAUGCUUGGAAAAACAAAUCGGCAACACAGUUGAAGAAUAUGUGGAUGACGUGGUCAUCGAGAAUAAACACGUCAAAUCACUGGUGGACGAUCUCUGCCUCACAUUUGACAACCUCCAAACAUAGGAAUCAAUCCGGAAAAAUGCAUGUUUGGCGUUCUAGCCGGAAAGCUAUUAGGGUUCAUUGUCUCCCAUAGAGGAAUUGAAGCAAACCGAGCUAAAAUCCGAGACUUGCCGCAAUUGGCCACACCAAUAGACUUAAAGCAGGUCCAAAAGCUAGCAGGGUGCGUGGCGGCUUUGAGCCGCUUUAGCUCCAGAUUAGGAGAAAAAGCAUUACCACUUUAUAGACUGCUUAGACGCACCGACAACUUUGAAUGGACGGAUGCGGCCACAGCCGGAUUGGAAGAAAUAAAAACCUUAUUAGCAGGCAACCCAAUCCUAACCUCCCCAAGUGUUGGCGAGCCUAUGUUGCUUUAUAUCUCCACAACUCAACAGGUAGUGAGCGAUGUACUCAUCGUCGAGCGAGGGGAAGAGGGACAUAAAUUCCCCAUCCAAAAGCCAGUGUAUUACGUAUUAGAGGUCCUUACACCAUGCAAAUCCUGAUACCCUCACUACCAGAAGAUAGCUUACGUGGUCUUUAUGGCAUCUUGAAAACUCCGACACUAUUUUCAAGAGUGUUCGAUCACGGUGGCAUCCGAAGUACCACUUAACAACAUUAUAAACAAUAGGGACACCACCGUUUGAAAUAACGUACAAGCCACGCCGAGCUAUUAAAUCACAGGUGCUGGCCGACUUCGUUGCCGAGUGGACGGAAGCCGAGCUCCCUAAAGAGUAUAGUUCAUACUCCAACUGCAUGUACUUCGACGACUCUAAAAUGCUAGCCGGACUGGGGGCUGGUGUCAUCUUGACAUCCCGGGGACACGGUCCGCUACGUGUUGCAAAUCAUGUAUACGGACUCCAAUAAUGCAGCUGAAUACGAGGCACUUCUACAUGGUCUCCGCAUGGCUGUCUCCAUGGGCAUACAACGCCUCGAGGUGCGCGGAGACUCAAUCCUUGCAAUAUCUCAGAUAAAUGGAGAGUUCGAUGCAAAAGAUCCAAAAAUGGUGGCACACUGAAACGCCGUAUUAAAAAUAUCGGCUCGGUUCGAGGGACUUGAAUUUCAUCACUUCGCUCGAGACAGUAACCAGGCAGCGGACAUACUCACUUGCACGGGCGCCAAGUGCGACCCCGUCCCGCCUAAUACCUUUGUGGAAAGGCUCUUCAGGCCAUCCGUGGUAUGGCAGGACGAGAGCGGAGAUGCUAGUACGGACCUGAUCAUGCCCCCGGCAGCCGAACAUAAUACAGAUAUCAUCGGGGGUCCGGUUACCGAAAUAACGCCUUCUGAUCAUGAGAUUCGGCCGUUAUUGCUCCUUGGACCGAACCCUUCCUGGCCUACCUUAAUAGGCAGGAGCUUCCCGAUGAUCAAAAUGAGGCCCGUCGCAUAGUUCGGCGUUCUAAAGCAUACAAAGUUCAUGAAGGUGAACUGUACAAGAAAAGCACUACCGGAGUUCUCCAAAUGUGCAUCUCCGAAGAGGAGGGACGACAACUCCUGGCUGAAAUACAUGCUGAUCUGGGCGGCCAUCACGCCGCAGCUCGGGCCCUCGUAAGCAAAGCCUUCCGGACAGGUUUUUUCUGGCCAAUGGCCCAAGCAGACGCACAGGCCCUUGUCCAACGUUGUGUGGGAUGUCAGCUUUUCGCCAAUCAAAGUCAUAUGCCUCCCACUGCCUUAAGAACAAUCCCCAUCACUUGGCCCUUCACGGUCUGGGGGCUGGAUAUGGUCGGACCCCUUAAAGGGGGAAGCCACAAAAAGAAAUAUUUACUGGUUAUGGUGGAUAAAUUCACUAAGUGGAUAGAGGCCAAACCAAUAAAAACGGCCGAAGCAGGAUCAGUGGUUGACUUUAUAUCCGGCGUGGCACACCGCUAUGGUGUCCUGCCCAGCAUCAUCACUGAUAAUGGCUCCAAUUUUACAGCUGAUGAGGUGAAAAACUGGUGUGCUAACUUGGGCAUUAAACUCGACUAUGCAUCCGUCUACCACCCUCAAACAAACGGUCAGGUUGAACGGGCCAAUGGCCAGAUAAUGAGCGGCAUUAAGCCCCGACUAGUGCGCUCCCUACGAGAGUCGGAUAAGCAAUGGGUUGAGGAACUCGAUUCCGUGCUCUGGGGGCUACGGACUACACCUAACCGAACAACCAGAUAUACACCUUUCUUCAUGGUGUACGGCGCGGACGCUGUCCUACCCUGCGACAUUAUUCAUGACUCACCUCGAGUGCGCAUGUACGAAGAGCGAGAAGCCGAGCUCGAUCGACAGGACGACCUAGACGGCCUCGAAGAGGAGCACGAUAUUGCACAAGCCCGUUCUGCAUUUUAUCAACAACAGGCCAGGUGAUACCAAAGCAGAGAAGUGCGGGCCAAGACAUAUAACAUUGGCGUCCUCAUCUUGCGUCUCCCAGAGAAGAAGAAGGAUAAGCUCAAACCAAGAUGGGAGGGCCACUUCAUCAUAGAUGAAGUUCUCACGGGAGGAUCCUAUCGCCUUCGUAAUGCAUCGGAUAAUCACCUUGAGCCGAAUCCAUGGAACGCUGCUCGGCUCCGACGAUUCUACGGAUAGUUCGGUAGCACCUUUUUUACUUUGACUAGGUUCCUUUUUCUCCUCUCCUUUUUUAUUUUUUCCUUUUUAUAUCCCAGGGUAUGUUCGGAUCUACCAAACUAUUAGGGGUACACAUCUUUAAAUGUAUACACCCCACUAUAACUGGGGCCUUCUUUGAUGAAGCUUAUUAUUAAAAGCUUGUGGCUUACAUUGUUUACGUCAUUUGUUCUAUACACUUUUUUGCCAUUAUAUGCACCUCUAUGACUUAAGUUUUUGCCAAGCUGGGUUGCCUUGCUCCUGUGUUUAUACCCUACGUUCCCUAUUGUUCGGCUAGAGUGUAAAGGGAGCACCUCUGCGAUUGUUACAACCGGGUAAUCUGGAUCUGUACCUCAGACGGGUGAAGCCAAAAGCUAGCGCUCUUAAGGGAAUAAUUGGUCGGCAAGCAACGAAAGAUUAUUUAUGUUUAUGUAAUUCUUCUAACAAAUAAGGGAUAGGCUACCCGUAAUUCUAUCUUUUGGAUCAAAGCCUAGGCAUGCAUAAUUAGGCAUGCCGACCCAAGGAAACGAACCCUUAAUGGAACUAUUUUCCCUCGAAGAUGUUUCUUACGUUAAAUAGUAAUAUAACAUAACUCCCCGAAGAAAUUUUGUCUGUUUGAGCAAUAUGACCGGAUUGCCUGUUUUCCGGACAUAAUGAAUGUUUAUUACAUUCCAACAUGGUCUCCGGAAACACUCCAACUUCUUGGUUCGGAGGUUAAAGCCGAAGGCCUGCAAUGACAAAUUUUGACAAGUUCGGUUGGAGAUAAGUUUGAUGAUAAAGUACAUUGAUACAUUGAAUCGAACGCCUACUCUUUAUCUAUGUCAUCUAUAAGACUGUUUAAGCUACAGUCUUCUUGCAAAUAUUUCGCAGCUAUCAUCACUUGGUCAUAUACCAAGUUCACGGGAAUCUUUUUUCCGUCCGGUCCCUGAGGUCCAACUUGGGCCAUACGAUUCGGAUCGAGCCCGGUGUAGCGCGUUUUCAUCAUCGCCCAUGCCUCUCGUGCACCUUCCCGGCAUGCUGACGCCUUCCAUAGCUCCAAACGGCGCCGGGCACCUUUCAACAGGUUCGCCAACCCCUCCAUGCUUUCUGGAGGGACAUCGGAUGGCCAUAAGGCUUUGGCCAUACUUCUCAUGGCUUUCCGGGCCCGCUCAUGCACUACGGACAGCUCUUUUAGAACGUCGCCUCGGAAUCGGGAUACUUCUUCUUCAUGAUGCCCGGUUAACAGACCUGCAAGAACAGCAUUAUAACACUCUGAAUUACAGGAUAAUAUUAGUCCCUUGGAUGGUUCAAAUGUCAUACCGAAUAUGCCGCCUUUCAACUUUUUAUUCUCUAUUUGUGCAUCUGAUAAUUGAGCCUUUAAGCUCUUUAUCUCUUCGGCUUGCUUAUCCUUUUCCUCCUCCAGUUUGUUCUUUUGAUCAAUGGUCAUCGUGACCUUCUUCAUUUCCUCUAGCUCUGUGGUGGCGGCAUUUAGCUUUGUCCAGCUCGUUUCAAGCUCCUGGGACAGUGUGUUGUUCUUCUCUUUGAGAACCUGCGGUCAUAACGAUCCUUAAAUCGGUUGGUCUAAACCGCUUCAAGUCUCGGGGGCUACUGGCAUAUAUCUAUUAAAUUUACACAAAACAUUACAUGCAUAUGUUUUGAAAACAGGUGAGCAACUCCAGCAAGUCUGUCCCGGGCAGCUCGGAUAUAUGCAUCCACGGUGCUAAGGGCAGUAAAUUCCUGCUCGGUAAAAACUGGAGCACGCAUGGUCUCUUUCACUCGUGGGUGGUUCAUCACGCUCUCCACUUCGGAAUUUGUGACGGAUAUGUCAUCCGAGUCCUCAUGAGGUGGAUGAGUUGGUGCUGCAUCCGUAUUGGCUCUUGUCUUGGUUGAUGAGCCCGGUGCCAGAUUAGCUGAUGAUCGGCUAGCUGGGACUUUAGACACGGUUCACCGUGUGCUCCUUCGGAAAUAAGAUGGGAAGAGAAGUAUGACAAUCUGGUCUUAUGCCUAGGCACAUGUUAAAAUUUAUAGCUCUUUGAUGAAGGAUGGGGCUCGACAGCGCUCCCGGUUUCCUUCCGUUUUCAAGGCUCACCCUGCAUAGAUGCUACCUUCCUAGAGGCCGCCCUCGAUGGAGUGUAGCUCGCUGAGCACCGAUCCUAUGAAGCACGAUUCAUUGUCAUGGGUGAGACACAAGUGGGUGGCUCCUUUUUUGUGGCUCCUUUUUUGAGGAUGAUUUCCGAGUACUUACCUUGGAGAAAGGGAAAAGGCCAGGGUAGUCGGCCGUAAUAGCCACUUCCGAGCCAUCAAGCCUUGCUUGAUAAAAGACUCCAUCAUCAAACUCUAUAAAUAUAUCCGGAUCCUCGCGAAAUCCGGGGUCCUCGUUGCGAGCAUAGUCCUCUGGCUGUGGGGAGGGGCAAUGAAUAUUUUCGACCACCUUCCACCAUGUCUGUUUCAAGACGACAAGAAAAAUUUGAUUAGCACACCUCAAUAAUGAGGUAGGACAAUGCUGAUAAACAAAAACUUACCCAUUCAAUGGGGUUAUACAUGGAGAAACCUUCCCGACAAUUUAAACGGAUGAAUUCUUCGUUCUCCCCCUUAUAAAGAUCUGCAAGAAUGGCCGCCAGAGCGGCUGGGGUAUCCGGGCCCUCAUGCUUAUAACGAGAUGCGUCGUCCUUUCCAUUGUAACACCAUAAAGGGGUCACUCUAGACUGAAGGGGCUGGAUGCAUCGCUUUAUCGCUAUGGCCAUGACUACGAUUAUCAAGAGUUUGGAAUGGGAGAGUAACCUGACCUUGCUAACUAAACUAUUUACUUCCACACUGUCUUCUUGCUUGGGGCUCCGGGGGCGCCAAUUGAAGUGUUUCUUCAAAGGAGAACUGAAGAAUUCGGGAAGUCCACGUCGAACUGGGUCCGGAAGGGGAACGUCCUCAACAUAAAACCAUUCCGAAGUCCAUUCUUCUGAUCCCUUCUUGGGAGUUCCGACGAGGUAACCUGAUCCGGCUAUGCACCAUACUUUGGCGCCGCCCACUUCAAAUAUAGAACCCCCUUGAUGACAAGGGAUGAGGCAAAAGAACUUUCUCCACAAUUUAAAAGGAGCCUCCCAGCCUAAAACUGUUCGCAGAGAGCACAAAACCUGAUACGUGCAGAAUAGAACCUGGUGUGAGGUUGUGUAGUUGGAUCCCGUAGAAUUCCAAUAGACCUCUGAGGAAUGGGUGGAUCGUGAAUCCUAAGACCCUCAGAAUAAACGAGACGAAGCACACCCUCUCCUCCUUGUUGGGGUUGGGGAAAUUCUAUGCUAGCACAUCAUUGCCAAUCGAGGCCAAUCCUGCCUGCAUGGAGAGUAGAUCUGUGGGAGGGAGAUAUCCUUGCGUUUGAAGUCGAUUUAGUUGGAGGGGAGACACUGAGCAGCUUCGCCAAUCACCCGCUUGAGGGCCAUGAGGGCGCGAGGAAGAGCUAGGAGCGCUCGCCAUGUUUUGAAGUUUUUUCCUGGUUUGCUCUGAUGCUCCUUGCGCAAUAUGGGAUGGCAUUUGGGGAUCUAACCCCCUUAUAUAGAUGCCGCCCUUGCAUGGUAAGGGGCUUAUUUGUAAAAAAUUAUGGACUGUUCGCAUUUGCCCGGCGCGUGGAAAUCGAGGCGACGACAGGAAGGAAUGUAAAGGCAGAACAUGAAGUUCAAAGCCGGACUGUCGUCAAUCCGGAGUAUGGUGAGGAACCUGCCUUGCAAAGCUGGAUACUACCUCGCCAUUGAAGGCAAGUUCGGGGGCUACUGAGGGAGUCCUGGAUUCGGGGGUCCUCAGGUGUCCGGCCUAUUCGAUAUGGGCCGGGCUGAUGGGUCGUGAAGACAAAGCAGAAGACCGCCUCCCAUGUCCGGGUAGGACUCCUAUGUGCGUAGAACGGCAAGUUUGGUGUCUGGGUGUAAUUCUCUUUGCCUCUGAAGUGACUUUGUAUAACCCUAGGUCUCUCUGGUGUGUAUAUAAACCGGAGGGGUUAGUCCACAGAGGGCAUCAGAAUAAUCAUAGGCUAGACAGCUAGGGUUUGGCCAUUACGAUCUCGAGGUAGAUCAACUCUUGUAACCCCUAUACUCAUCGAAUACAAUCAAGAAGGACGUAGGGUUUUACCUCCUUCGAGGGGGCCCGAACCUGGGUGAACACCGUGUCCCCUUGUCCCUUGUUACCAUUGAUCCUUAGACUCACAGCUUGGGCCCCCCUACCCGAGAUCUGCCGGUUUUGACACUGACAAGUAUCCCUAGCCCACCAGGGUUCAAGUCAUGAUACUCGCAUUUGUCAUGGAUUUAUUUCAGGAUUCCCGGUGAUCUACGGGUCAUUCCGUGCUCGACCCUGCACAGACCGCACAUGCUCGUCAGACAGUACAACACCAUAGGAUCCACAUCGUGGUUUCCCAGCAUUCCAAUUCUACGGUCUCGUCGAUUUUUUCUACUUUAUGUGGGAUCAAGAAAUAGCAUGUACAGGGGCCUUCGCACCCAACACACACAGUAGUAUAGCAUGUUCUUUCACAUGUUUUACCAUUAGUCGUUUGGUUCGAUCGAUCACAAGCCCCUGCUGCUGAACAGCAAAGCGACUAAACAUGCAACAAAUCACCAAACUCCAAUUUAUUAUUAUACACCAAAGGCGCACACAAGUUCAACCGAAGAACGAUACUAAAAACUCAGUCGGCUGAUAGGUGGAUCAUCAAAGGAGAAUCAAUGCAUCCAGAAGUAAGGCCAACAUAGGAGAGGUGCACCACGCGAGAGACAUAGCCAGUCGAGGAAAUUCAGCCAGUGAUCCUCAGAAGAACCCCCGGACAACGCCACCCCCACGCUGCAUGGUAGGCUUCACAUGCCACCUAGUCCAUGACUUUUGCUCCUAGCGGACACACCCUUUGAUUUCCCUCCUUUUAUCUGCAAAAUUGCCCAAUUUGUUAGCCACUCACAUAUCAACCUGAUAAGCAUAAUUAGAACAUUUAUUAGCUUUUUUUUCAAAAACAACAACUGUUUCUGCAUCUCCAAAUUGUCCAAAAGUUAGCAGCCACACCAACUAACACCCUUUUUUGGUUACAUCAUGUUGAUUUUUUUAAUAGAGACACUAAAGCACAGAAUCAGAUUAGUAGGAUUGAUCUCAAAUUUAAAGUAUAUUUAAGAAAACCCCACACUAGUCUAUUGCUCUCAUCUUGACCACAAAACACACAAUUUUUGGGAUCUAUCCAGCCACUCUUCAAUAAAUGGUCUCUAGGUAAUACGCUAUUUUUGACCAUCAACCAAAGAAAGACUUUGAUUUUUGGUGGAAUUUUAUUUUUUUCUUAAAACAAUUGUGACAAACCACAAUAUUGAACAACAAGGUGUCUAUAAAGUGUUUUGACUGUAAAAAGACCAUAUGCAGUUAACAUACACUUAAUAGAAUCCUUGUUGUGAGACAUCACAUUCCAUCACAUCUCAUUUUGAGGCUAUCCCAAAGAGCUAGAGUAUCACCUCACAAAGUUCUUCUAAAUCUAAAACCCUCCCAACCUCUCUACAAGGCAUCAGUUGUAGUAAUAUUCUAAUCAGAACUCAAAUUAUACAGUAUAGCAUCAGAGAUUUUAAGGGGUUUAUAAUCCACCAACAGUAUUCCCAAAAAUCCAGCAUUCUUGCCAUUACCACUUUUUUACAAUAUUGGUAGAAUGUGUAUUUAAUUUUCAUGAUACUGGACCAGAAAUGGGAGUCCCCAGUCUUAGGUUUAGUUCCAAAAAGGCAACCAUUCCGAAGAUGCUUGUUCAGGAGAAUCAUGUGCCAAAUACCAUUUUUAUUUUCUACCAUAACUAUUUAGCAGACAAGUUUUGUUCAUGAGUUCAAGAUUUAAAAUCCCUAAACCCCCUUAAUCUUUAGGUCUAAAUCAAGUGUUCCACUUUACUAAGUGUUAUUUUUUUUCUUAUUGUCAUCUGCCUACCAAACAAAUCUAGCCAUGAAAAAAUUGGCUCUUUUCUUCACAUCAACUGGGAUGGGGUAGAAAAACAUCAUACAUAAGUUGAAUAUCCCCCUCUAUUGUUAAAUCUUCUCUCAUAGUGAUAGUUAUCAAAUCUCUCCCCUUUUGUUGAAACUACCUUGCACGCCUGCACCACCAUAAGACCUAGCCAUCCCUUCUUGCUCACCAGAUGGCGGCGUAGCAGUCAAGCCUUACCACACAUCGAUUGCUUGCCCACCAAAUUCUCUUAGGGGGCGGACCAAAGCAUCUAAAUACCCAAAGGUAGCACAAGGCGCAUUCUCCUUAAGUGCUUUCCUAUUCCACUAACCUGGACCUCCUAUACCAAAAACAUCUAGUCCAACCGCCCAGGGCCAACUACAGAAGGUUCUAUGGGUAAAGGCCAAAACCCUAAAACUCACCCCCUCCUUGCUCAAUAUUUAUCAUCACAACAUCAAUGUAAUCUAAGAAAUCCACCCCAAAAACAAGCAUAUCCUUUGUAAAAUUGGCAAGGGUAGCUGGAAAAUUACCAAUUCUCAUAGCCUUUUUGACUAGAUUUCCACCAACAUCGAAAUUCCAUUUAAAAACUAUAUCAUCACAAAUUUUGAUAUUGUGGGUAUCAACAUCAGAAAGAUCCAAGGACAAACCAUCCUCAUAACAGUAUUACGAUCAAAAUCAAUGACAUGAUCAACUUCCAUCGGAAAAUCCACCGAAGACUUUUCGAGCAUGCAACUAAGAUAUCCUAACACUAUUUCUCGCAACUACAAUCCUCCCAACUGUUAGUUUGUACAUGAGGAUGUAAAUAUUUGUAGAGAUCAGCAAUCUUACUUGAAAAUGAAGCAGCAAAACGAUUGUAGGAGUCGUCGACUCCUCCCCGGCAGCAGCCAUAAUUGACUGCCUGCCAGGAAGACGCCUA
rnacentral:lncRNA from 1 species